rnacentral:lncRNA from 1 species
CUAAUCGAUCAUUAAAAAUAAUCCGAAAGACCCCAACAGCGGUAUUUACUCCUCAAACAUACUAAUUAAACAUACACAUUAACACAAUCGAAAUUCCACGCAAAUACCCACAAUUGAAAUUGAGAACAUAGUCUAGUAAAUAAAUAACAAUUGCAAUUACUGCAAGCAGUUAGAUCUCAACAUUCAGUGGACAAAGCUCCAUUAAAGAGACGAUAAGAGUUGAUUAAUAUAUAUAUAUAUAACAUCGCACCAGAGAUGUUAGUAAUAACAGUUGGGUGAGUCUAGGAACGAGUUCGGACAGCUUCAUCCUUGUCUGGUUUCUUGUCGGGCCCACUGGAAAUCCAGAACGCGGAUCCGAUAGCAACAAUAGCCAUAAGGCUCAACGUUCGAUCCACUGUCCUGUGUGUACGAAGAUACUGAAACACCAACAGAUCGAGUUAAUUAAAUAACAAAGUGUGUUCAAUUUCUUACAACAACACAAAUUACCUGGUUGGCUCGCUUAAAGGGUGUUAGAAACGACAUCCUUCUCUCUCGCGCCCUCUCGAUCUCAAUAAUUUCUUGCAGACACAAAGCCUCCCUUAUACUAGGGUUAGGAACCAGAAGGUACUUGGGUUUUACCUGCCCCAUGUUAUCUGGGCCCAAAUACCACAUUUUUAUCUUUGAGCCCAGCAAAUGCACGUAGUUACGGUUUAUAAAACUUACCGUAUCUUUCAACAAAUCUUUUUUGAACCCGAGAAUGUAGCUUUUCUCUCACCGUUUCUCUUUCUUUUUUCAAACACUUUAUUCACUUAUUUACUUUUUAUUUCUGGCCGGCUCCAUAAUGCACUUUUAUCCUUAAAUUAUGGAACAGGUCGGGUUAUACAUCAUUUUAGUGACUGAGAACAUACUGAUUUGCUUAGACUUAUUGCAUGAUUAUGCAAUCUGGACUGAACAGUUUUUUUUUGUUAUAUUCAUCAAUCAUUAUGUCACUAAUUCCAUGUUCCUGAGAUAUGUUUUCAAUAACUAACUGAUUUAAAAUUUUGCAUACUACAAGAGAAAUUGAAAGAGGUGGAAACCUCUCAAACUCAAUGUCAUUUGCAGGAGACUUCAUCUACAGAGCCGCCACCAUCCCCAAAAAAUCAAAAAAAAAAAAAAAAAGCACAAAACUAAGGAGUUUAUCAAGAUAUUGCAGGCUAGGCCUGCAAAAAAAAGAAAGACACUUAUGUAUUCUUGGCAUACAGCUGGUGAGUUAUUUGGAAGCCAUGAGGCAGGACAGUUGAUCGGCUCUCAGCCAUCACAGAAUUCAAAUACAGCUGUCCUGGUGCCAGAUUCAAUUUACUCGAUAUUUCCCAAUGUUCUAAACGAGGUUGGCCAGAUGGUGACUAGCCUACCAACACGUGAAGUAAAAAGAGCAAAGUUAAAUGAAGAAAUUCAGAAUUUGACUAAUGUUGCGUUCCCAAACAAAAGUGAUCCGCUCCAACAGUCAAUGUUUUCCCAAUAUGAACGAGCAGCAACAACUUGCCUUGAUCACGAUACCAAUAACAUGGUCAUCGUACAGGUACACUCAAUAUUUGUAUUUAAUAUUAUCGCAGUAUGCUCCCAUUGUUCAGAUAUUAGUAGCUACAACAAAUCAUCAUUUAUACCUUCAAUAAAUUAAUUACUUUUUAUCUGAAAAAAUUGGUUAGUAACUUAAUAUUUGGUUGCUGUUGCAACCAAAAUUUUGGACGAUAAUUCUGAUCUGCCACGAGUACUAAAUACUAAAUUCAAGCAGUAAAAUGAAGUUGCCAUGGAAUUAUUUUUUCUUUGUUUGAUAAUAUUUUGGUCAAUAUUUUUUUUGUGGUUUUUGUGGUUUUUUUUUGUGGUUUUUGUUCUAACUUAUUUUUUUUAUGAUUUAGUCUAGAUUAGGAAUCAAUAAGUUGUUUAUAUUUGUAUUUGAUCUAAAAAAUUCAUGUACCUGUCAUUUGUCAUUUAUAUUUCUCAAGUUGUGUUUAUGUUUCUCAAGCUACAAUGUACUUCUAAUAGUAUGCUUCUAUUGUCGAUAAAUAUGAUUUACGUAUUUCUUCGUCAGAUAAUAUAUAAGAAACUUUGUUUGUUCAGGAGGAACCAGAGAUCAAUCAUCAGGAAACAAAUCACGGAACCCAGAAUCAACGUGACCAGAAUCAAUGUGAAGACAUAGAUGAACAGGCGGACGACUAUGAGCUGCAUAUUUAAUUAGGCUUUGUUAUGGAGAACUUAGUCUAAAACUCCAUCUUUUGUCUUUGCCAAGUGUCAAAUAUUAGCUAGAAUCUACCUUUUGUGUCUGCCAAAUAUUAAGUGCGAAUUUAUCUCCUGUCAAUCAAUAGGAUGGAAAAAAUAUUUUGUUUAUGACAGAAUUUAUGUGGAUGUUCAUGACUUUAAUCCUUUCUCUUAAUCUAAGAUGCUUAAAUUAUACACUGCUUUUCAGUUUUAUAGUUAUAAAUAGGAUUUGGGUUAUUUGUGGGUUUGUGGUAAUCUUGAUGGUUGGAUGGUUUAUACAGGAUUGCUAGGUAGAAGGUAUAAACAGGUAAAUGGUGGUGUAAAAUUAUGAACCGGCCACUAAUAACUCAAUAAGAAUAAAUUCGACUGACUUUGAUAGGAUAUAAAUAAUUAAAAUACCUAUGAUAUAAUAUAUUCAACCAAAAGAAGUUGAAUUUAUAGUCCGUUGAAAUUAUUAAUGACAACUGCUUCCAGUUGAAUUUAUGAAUGUUUGAAUUUAUUAAAAAUGACCAAAAUCAGUUUUACAGAAAAUAAUAAAAUCGACCAUUAGCAGUUUAAAUCAAAUUUUCACCAAAACUUGAACUAAAUUUUGAAAAUACGAUCAUAUUUAAAAAUGACCGACAACGGUCACAUUUAAGCGGUCGGAAAUAAGUGUUCGUAUUUACUCGAUCGAAAAUAGCUAAAAUCGUCCGAUUUCUUAUUUUCGACCAAACCAGUUAUGACUGAGCUUUUUUUGGUCGCUUUUAGCUAAAAACGACGAAUUGCAGUUGAAUUUAGCUAAAAACGAUCAUUUUCGCGAGGUUGAAUUUAUCCCCAUUUCUUGUAGUGCGAGUUUAAUCAAGAGGUAAAAUCAUCGAUCCCAAAGCCUCACCUUUUUUCUGAGAUUAGACUUUGUAUAAUGUUUUCCAUUGCCAAUAGAGAUUCUUUAAGGUGAGGUUGGUCAAGACAGACAAUAACACAAUGAUAUUUAGUUGAAUAUAUGUAUAUUACUUUAGCGAAGUUAAAUUUAGUUAGUUUUCAUGAAUAUGGAUAUCUCUUCCUCCAAAUGUGAUUCCAGAUCUAGUAUUAUCUUGUUCUUUCUUCUAAGCUCAUCCUCGUUACUUCUCAGGUUAGUAUUUAGUAUACUGAUCUUGUUUGUGUGUAAUAUUUAUGACGUACGGCAAAAUAAACUAUGAAACUGGAAUCAGCAAUAAAUGAAACUGAUGAAAAUUGUAAAUAAGCAUUUGAUGUUACCCAUGAAUUCAGUUCUCAUAGUAAAUAAGCAUUUGUAUUAAUGAGUACAAAAAAUAUAUUUUUGAUCGAUAUUUUUUUAAUUUUCUUUUUUCGAAUAAAUAUAUAAAUCAUAAGUUUUUGUUAAAAAAUAAAACUUCAAAAAAUAUUAAACGGUGUCUUUUCCAUGUAUGUUGAAUUACGUACAAAAAAAUCAAAAGAACAUAUACUAUCCAGUCAUUUGCACCACGUCAUUUUACACCCUUAUUAUCUCAGAACAAGGAACUAUAAUCUCAAUUGAAAAUCUUCACAAAUACAUGACAGUCUAAAUGUUAAAGACCGAUGUUAAUCUGAAAAUAUUCAUGCAUAUCCAAGUGAUUUAUUUCAGGUGUGGUGGACUUGCAUUAUGCAUGUACCUUUCACAUAUUAUAGGUUUUAAAGUUCACAAUCUAAUGAACUUCUGAGCUCUCAUAAUGUGUCGAGUUUUAAUUAGAGCUCGUUAGCUGGCAUUUGUCGAGCUUUCGAAUAAAAUUUUGUCAGACUUUUAACUUGCAGCUAUUCGGUGAAAAUUUAAAUUUGUGGUGGCUUGUAUUCUCAAUUGAUUUCUGAAGUGCACAUAUAUUUAUUAAUAUUCCAUUUUUGCAUAACUCCGUUACCCGAACCAACUCGAGUCGACUUAAUAUGGCUAUCAAGUCUGAUUUUAUUCUAAAUUCUUUAAUAAUUAAUCUAAAUACUAUGAAAUCGAGGUUAUUGAACUGAAUAAAUAAAUUAUUGAUAAAUCGACCCACCCCACUUCGAUGUACCCCUAUUUUUAAGCAAUUAACUAUAUAUAGAACUGAACACAUGGUAAUAGGAGUAGAUCUUUAGAAACGGUAAAAGAAUAUUGUUACUUCAAAAAUGGAAGCAUUCUUUUAGCGACAAAUGUUGGACUUCUUUUUUCAUUUUUAAUAUUUAUUAGUGAAUUUUUUUGACUCGUGAGUACGUUAAUUUAAAAAUCGUUACGCACGGAGAUAAGAUAAUAUUAUUUCUAUCGAUUACUCCUAUUUCUUUUAACUGGACGAUAUGUUUAUUAAAAUAUUUCUAUCAAACCACCGCUUGCAUCUUAUUGUCGAAUACUUUAAUCGUACCAAACAUAUUUAUAAUUGCGAAUUUUUUAAAUAGAUUUAAAAAUAUCGAAAUAAAACUAAACAUCAUGUCAGUUUUAUGUAAACCAUUUACAUAUUCAUAUUUCUAGAUUGUGUUUUUUGUUACGAAAUCAACCCAUGUCACCCUUGGACGGGAUUUAGUACUAAUGACACUGGACUCAACCUAUUUGACCCAAUUGCUAGCACUAUCUCCUCUAUAUCAAAACCAUGCCUAGUCGAAAGAUGCACCGGAUAUUAUUUGGGCUACGUCAAAUUUAGCCUUGCCGGGCCAAGAUUUGACUUUGGACAAUUGAAAUUUUCUUUCUUAUUUUGUUAAAUUUUGAAUUUUGAGAGUUUUGGAUUUUGUUCUAUUUUACAUGAGAAAUCUAUGUACAUAAACCAUUGAGUUCAUUUGUUAUAUGAAAAAUUUAUAAAAUUGUACAAAUCGCAAGAUAAUCUCAAUCACAAUCACAGAUUAGUCUCAGUGGUAGAGUGCAUAUCUCAAGCAUAAUAUUUAAAAUGUUUACGAGAUAUUCGUGCAACUUGUAUCUAAGACAUAAAGUACUUAUUUCUCAAAAGAAUUGAAAAUAUCCGAAACUAGUUAGAGUAGUAGUCAUCAUAUUAGCGGUUUUAAACUCUCAAUUACUUGUUUAUCAUCCAAUAAAAACACGUAUAAUUAUUUUAAUUCUCGAUUACUUAUUCAUCCAUUAAUAAGUACUCGUACAACCAUCUUAACUCUUGAUUACUAAUUAUUCAUCAACCAAUACAUACACGUACAACCAAAUUAUAAAAACUACAAAUAUCAUAAUGAAGGGCGGAUCCAGCGGGGGACAAAGGGGUUGGAGCAUCCCUGACCCGAAAAAAUAAAAAAAUAAUUUUUUUACUAAUAAAAUUAAAUAUAUCUAUAUUUAAGCACCCCUUGAAAAAAUUAAGCACCCUUUAAAAAUGGCAACUCGUAGAAUUCAGUUGCCUCCUAGUAGUCAUAUUUAGUAAUAUGUUUAAUAUGUAUGACUUUAUAUGAUAUUGAGGACUAUGGUGUUGGAAAUUUUUUUAGUGUAAUUUGAAUCCCUCUCUUAAUUCCUGGAUCCGCCCCUGAUCAUAAUAGAUAUUGAAUCCAGUAAUUAGAAACAUAAUAGGUGCGCUUAACUAGUUGAUUCAACUGCUAAUCUUGACAUAAUCUAGCACAUAAACAUAAAAUCUCAACAUUCCUCGUUUUCAUAGGAGGAGUUUGAAUCAAUAACUUGAACCAAACCCAUACAGUUUAUUACAUUGUCAUUUCCUAAUCAUCACUACCACCAUCUGGCAGCCCAUUCAGUUUAAAUACAUGCAAAUGGAAUACUCAAUAUUUACACACAAUAUGCUACAGUAUGAUACAAAGAGGAAAUUGACGGACCAUGCUUUGUUUACGUAUUUGAUUUUCAAAUGUAAAGCUGAUGACUCUACAUGGAAAUGUUUAUCGAUUUAAAAUAAUUGUCGUAUUGAGUAGUAUUCUUACAUAUUUAUAAAUAAAUCUACUCAUAAAAAUUAAAAUUUAGUUUACUGCACUAAGAACAAAAUAUUUAACAUAUAAUAUUUUAGAGCCUGUUUAGUUGUAUAGUUUUGUAGAAAAAUUUUCUGGAAAUUUAGAAACAUUUGAAAAUAUGUUCAAUCGCGAUAUUUUUUUGAAAGAAAACUUGAAAAACAGAAAACACUUUUACAAAUGAUAACUACACUUCAGAAAAGUAUGGAAAAGAGCCAGACUUGUUUUCUAGGAGUAGAAAACACAACUACGAACAUGCUCACAUUCUAACCCACCUAACUAGCGUAUGUCAAUUUUGUUUUUAUUUUUUAUAUGUAAGACCUAAAAUAUACAUAUUUUAUUGUUUUGUUUAUUUAACAUAAAUAAUGUAAUAAACACAAAUAUAAUAUUCAUGUUUCUAAAAAAUAUUAAAAAACAAAAUAAAAUAGUUGAGUGAAUAAAAGAAGAAAAAGAACUAACCUAUCUUUUUAUUAUCAUAUAAUAUAAUUAUGUGUUAAUAAAACUUUUUACUUUUAAAUAUAUUAUGAAAAAUUAAUUAUAUUAUUUAACAUUGUUAGUACAACAUAUUUUUUGUUUUACUUUUCUAAUCUAAUUUGUUAAUUAUCCCAUUUGAGAAUUAAUAAACAUGUGGUUCAAAUUUUUUAGUACAACAUAUUUUUUGUUUUACUUUUCUAAUUAAAAUUUUACCGUUAUAUAUUAUACGUAAAAAAUAUUAAAUUAGAUAGAUAAUGUAAACCAAAAUUUUUGAUUAUUGAAAUAGUGCCUUAUACUAAAUAAUAAAUAUAACUUAUUAAAUUAUAAAAUUGAAAAACAAAUUUAUUCUUUUGAAACAUGUUUUCUCAAUUUGAAAAUGAAAAUCUUGAAAAUUUUAGAAAAUUUUGGAAAAGAUAAAUGGAAAAAUUUUCCGGGAGUAGACAACCCCUUUGAUUUGAUUAUGUUCAGCAUAAUUUCUCACACAAUAAUAAUUACAAUGUUCGUAUCUUUUUGGUUUAAUUUUCUCUUAUUUGACUUUUUAUAAAAUUAAUACUCCCUCCAUCCCAUUUAAUUGUAUACGUUUCUUUUUCAUUGUUCGAUACGUAUUUUAAGGCAUAUGCAAAACAUACUUCUAUAAUCUUUUUUCAAAAUUUUCCUUUUCUGUAUAAAAAUUUAACGUUUAAACUUUUAUUCAGAAAAAGAAAAUUUCAGAAAAACCUUAUCAAAACAUGUUUUACGAGCAUCUUAGAAUGCGUGCGAGUUCACGUCCCCUAGAUAUACAACCUAGGGGACAGAGGGAAUACUCCCUCUGUUUAUUUUUAUAUGACGUUUUAGGUUUUUCAUCAAGAUUAAGGAGAGUCAUUAUUAUGGCCUGUUAUUCUUUACUUUUCUUUUUUUACCCUUGCCCCUGUACACAUACACAGUCUCUCUUGAUUAUCAGUGUACAACUAAUAUUCGCGUGUAUAAUUAUUAGGGUUAGACUAGUUUCACGUCACUUUUCAAAAAUAUAACCUCUCAUAUUUAUCUUGUGUUUUCUGCAGCAUUCAUUUUUAUUUAUCUCUUGUAAUUCUAAUUUUGCUCUUAAAUUUUCAAUCUCCUUCUUGUAAAUUCAGUUUCCCUCUAAAAAAUUUCAAUGUCCCUCCAAUAAAAUUUCAAAGAUUUUAAUCUCCCUCCAUUACUUCCCAGCAUACACGGCUAUAUAUACAAGUACCUCUGAUUUACAAAGACACCUGCAAGAGUGGAGAGGUAGAAAAAUCAUUCAAAAAUCAUGAGUACUAAUUAUAAUAUUGAUUUAAAUAUGCCAUUGAGUUCAUGGGAAGAUUUCUUGAUAAGUGAAGAAGAUAUUCCAACAAACACCCACGAGCCAGAAGGAUCUAAAUUUACAGGUCCGUGAUUUUCUUAGAUUUUUAUUGCUUAUCAGACUUUGUUUUUUUUGUUUCAAGUUUAUGGUUUAUUGUUAUACUUUAUUUUAUGAUUGAUUUUUUUUUUCUUAUUUUAAAUGAACAAUAUUUUUAACAGGGGGAGAGGUUUAUUCAGAUGAAGAGGUUAAUUCAGAUAAAGAACUUUCCUGUCAUUCUCAAAAUGAUUUAAACAGUUCUGAUGGUAAGGUUUAAUAUGAGUAUAUAUUACAUUUGUACCUUGUGCAUGUGAGUGAUUUUGUGGCUUUGUUGUUUAUGCAUCUUAUAUUGAUUUUGUUGUUUGUCUACUUAUUUUAUUUUAUACAUGUUUUAUAUUUUAUUUUUAUUUUAAACAUGUCCCAUAUUUUUAUUAUUGUGAAAUAAAAAUUAGUAAGUAUAUUAUUAUUUAUAUAUGUCUAACUUUUAAUUUAUGUGAGAACGUUAGAUGAAUAUUCUUAACCCUUUAAAUUUUAUGGUUUUAGAUUUUAAAUAAAAUAUACACAUUUUGGUACAAAAUUAGAUUUUAUUAAACAUUUUACUUUAAAAAUAUUUGUAAGAAAAAUUGAAUUCAAAAAAAUUAUAUCUACAUGUUAAUUUAAUUUUUUUCUUUAUCACAGGUGGGAGUGAUUUCUUGGAUACAGGAUCCAUGUUUGAUGACGACGAAAUUGUAUUUGAUACAAUUGAACUUUUAUCUUCAGAGAGUAAUAACACAUAUUUUAGUUUCAUUUUUUUUAUUUUUAUUUUUCUUGAUUUUGAUAUUUUAAAUUUAUUUGGUAUUGUUUAUGGGGUUGUUUAUGCAGGUGAAACAGAAGUUGGUGAGCAUGAAAUAUUACAAGUGAAAAAAAGAAAAGUAAUCACAAAUGAUGAAAGACAAGCCAUUUAUGCAGCUUUGUUAGAGAAAAGUGUGAAUGGAAAACUUAAAAAGAAAUCUACAAGAAUUGUUGCAGAAAAGUUCUCUGUGCCAUUACGUACCGUUCAAAGAAUUUGGAAGAGGACAAAAGAGAAUGUAGGUGAUGGGAUGACCAGUGUGUUACACAGGAAGACAAAAAAUUGUGGUCGCAAAAGAAUACAGAUUGAUAUGGAGCGAUUUAGAAACUUACCACUCCAACAAAGAACAACAGUACGUGCUUCAGCAAGUGGUAUGAACAUUAGUCCAUCUCUCUUUUAUAACAAUUAUAAAAAGUAUGGUAAAAUUAGAAGACAUACUAAUGCAAUCAAACCUCAGUUAACUGAUGAGAACAAAAAGGCUAGAUUACAGUUUUGUUUAUCGAUGCUCAAAGAAGACAGUUUGCCACAUGAUCCUACAUUUAACGACAUGUUUAAUCUUAUUCACAUCGAUGAAAAAUGGUUCAACAUGUCCAGAAAAAAUGAGACAUAUUAUCUUUUACCCGAUGAGGAGGAUCCCUACCGGACAUGCAAGAGCAAAAACUUUGUGGGAAAAGUGAUGUUUUUAGCCGCUAUAGCUAGGCCGCGAUUUGAUGCAGAAGGUAAAGUUACAUUUUCUGGAAAAAUUGGCAUAUUCCCAUUUGUUACUAAAGAGCCGGCAAAAAGAAGUAGCGUCAACCGAGCUGCAGGGACACUUGAGACAAAAGCUAUGACUUCUGUAACAAGAGAUAAAGUACGAUCUAUUCUUAUUAAUGAUGUGAUGCCGGCUAUAAUAAAGAAGUGGCCAAGAGAAGAUGCAAAUCUUCCCAUCAUUAUUCAACAAGACAACGCAAGAACACAUAUCGAUCCAAAUGACAGAGAGUUUUGUGAAGCAGUAAGGAAAACUGGUUUUGACAUAAGAAUAAAUUGUCAACCACCAAAUUCUCCUGACCUAAAUGUGCUAGAUCUUGGUUUUUUUAGAGCGAUUCAAUCUUUGAAGUACAAGGAUGCCAGUAAAAAUAUUGAAGAGUUAACAGCGGGAGUAGAAAGAGCUUUUGAAUCAUUUUCAAGUAAAAUGUUCAAUAGAAUUUUUUUAACUCUGCAGUCAUGUAUGGAGUGUAUAAUGAAGGUGAGAGGGAGCAAUAAUUAUAAAAUUCCCCACAUGAGAAAAGGUGCUUUGGAGAGAAGAGGAGAGCUGUCAUGUCAACUAAAAUGUGAUGCAUAGUUAUAUAGAGAUGUAGUGAUGGAUUUAAUUUUUGAAAUAUAAUCAAUGUUUAUUUUGACUUAUACUUGUUUACUUUAUUUUAUUAGUUUUGUAGUCUUCAUAUAAAUUCUUGAUAAUUAUUUUAUCAUAUAUGUAAGUUAACAUAAAAUAUUGUCAUGACUUCUUUUAUUUGCAUUCCAUUUUUUAUAAUAAAAAAGAUCGAUCUUGAAAUUUUGAAAAUUAUAUAUAAAAAUGAAAGAAAAAGAAAAAAAAAUAUUUUAUAAAAUUCUUUUCUCCAACUUACAAAUAAAAACUAAAUCCUAUUAAAUAAAAUAUUGUCAUGACUUUUUUUUUCCCACUCCAUUUUUUAUGAUAAAAAAUAUAUCGAUCAUUAUUUUCAGAAUUAUAUAUAAAAAAUGGAAGACAUAUUGUAAAAGAAUAUUUUAUAAUAUUCUUUGCUCUGAAUUAAAAAUAAAAACUAAUUCUUAUCUAUGUCAGAAUACCUAAAUUACACAAGCAUAGAAUAAAAGAAAUUGAAAAAACAAAGUAAUUAGAGAACAAGGUAAAAGAACAUUCAAAAGGAUACAUAAAUAUUAAACAAAAGGAACACAAUUAACAUUAUUUAAAAACUAAAAUUAAAAUUUAUAAUCUAAAUACAGAAGGAAAAAAUAUUUCUGACAUUUCAUGCACAAUCUCAUACAUGCUUUCUUUUUUUGGUAUUUUGUUGAGAUCAAAUGGGUGCAUGUUCAGAUCCACAGGUUUAUAUUCUUCUUGAGUAUCCUUCGAAGUAUCCAUAAACUUCCGUUGUUGAUCAUCAUCAUCCUCCUGUAGUAAAAAAAAACAUACGCUAGGUAUGUAUAUAGAUGACAUUAGGGUUAGUUCUUCACGAAUGGCUUUACCUGUAGACUUUGUCUCUAGUUUUAUAGGACACACGUUCUCUUCUUCAUUAGGGUUACUCCUGCUUACACUCAUGAAGUUUUUGUAAGUAAAGAUGUAUGUAAAUGUAUGUAUAUAUUGCUCAGUACAGAAUGGAUCAUAUUGGACUCCUGUAUAAAGACUACGGGCUAGUAUUAAUGAGAGAAUUAUAAUCACCGAGUCUUUUCAAUUUUCUAGAUUUAUUGAGAAUAGACAAAAAUAAGAAGUAAAUAAGGGCAGUCGUGGGAAGACCAUAUACAUCAGUUCUUGAAAACUGAGAACGUCAUAUAUUUAUAAACAACAAAGAAAAUCUAAAACGUCAUAUAAAAAUAAACAGAGGGAGUACAAGACAGGACAUAAUUUGGACUAUGAAUUAUGUAAAAUUAUACUAUAGAGUGAUUUAAUGUAUUUAAAAAGUAUUGACCUUUACGAUGUUCACAUCUCUCAUAGGUUAUCGAUGAUGUUAUCUUGGAGCCUUGACGGUUGACACCAUAUGAUGUGACAACCUAUCCCUUAGGUUGAAAGUAAAGUAGACUGUGCUCACGAUGGUUGUAAAGAUUUUUGUUACUUCCUCCGUCCCAUUAAAUUUAUUAUGUUUUUAUUUUUGGUUGCUUCGUAUUAAUAAUAAAUAUAAAAUUUCAUUUUAUUAAAUUAUUUAUAAAUAUGAAUUCAAGAUCACUCAUGAUUAUAUUUAUUCUUAUAAAUUAGACAUAAAUUAGAAUUAAAAGUCAAAACGAGAAAAAGAAAAAGAAACGGAGAGAGGGAGGGAGUACCAACUUAGCAUUGUUCUAUAAUGCAGGAUUGCAUGUAAGAGCAUCUUCAACAGGAGGUGCCAAGAGUGAUGCCAACAUCUAUGUGUGAUGUGUCAAGCACUCUUGGGUGCCUCCCUAUUGGAGUGGAAAUAGUGCUUGAAUAGUGCCAAGAGAAGUUGUGAAAUUUUGGCACCCUCUUGACACCCCCUUUAAAUGGCUAAAGUCCAAUUUCUAUCCAAAAUGUGUAUAUAUUUCAUUAUUCUUUUAUUAUAUUUACUUUUUUUCAAGUCUCAUUAGUAUAAGAGAAAGCAAAUAAUUAAUUGAUGUGGGGACCAUUUAGGCACCCUUAGAGGGGUGCGUGCUAUUGGAGUUAUAAAGUGGCUAAAUUUGACAUGGAAGAUGAGACAAUAGAAAAGUAGUAUUAUUUUUAUGAAUUGGCAUGUUUUGGCACCUUUUGUUAGAGCAACUCCAACUCAACUCUAAAACUCUAUUUUAGUGUCACAUAUAGUGCAAAAUCACUUUAACCCAACUCUAUAACAGUGUUGAACUUACGCUAAACUUUUAGAGUGACACCAAAUUUAGUGUAAAAAAGUACAUUUGGUGUAAGUUUGACACUAAAUUUGGUGUCCUUCAUAUUUACAAUAAUUCCCUUACUUUUGUUAAUAAAAUAAAAUUUUCUCUUUAUGUCAUAGCAAGAUUCCUUUUAGUUUAUAUUAAAGUAUAUAAAAAAAAUCCCUCUUAUAUCAUGCAAAGAUUCAUUUUAGUGUCAAUAGGUUGGAAUACAUUUCAUGGACAGUGUGAGUUUGACACUAAAAUAGUGUCAAAAUUAGGGCUGCACAAAGGUCUAAAACUGGACCGGACCGGACCGAAGACCGGAUUUUUUUGAAUUCAUGGACCGGGGACUGGACCUGUUAUAUUCGGUCUUCGUACCGGACCGGUUUGGACCGAUUACUUUAUAUUUAUAUAUUUUUUAUAUUUUUAAAAAUUUAUUUUCUUAUUCUUUUGAUUUUAAAUUUAUAAAUUCUUUUUGAGUUAACAAAAAUAUAGAGAUAACUACAAAUCUUGUAUUAUUUCAAAUAAAAGUAAGUUAUAAGUAUACAAGUUUUGACUUAUUAAUAUAUGACAUACAACAUUUAUUCAUGUAAUUUAAAAUAUCAAUCACUAUUAUGGAGGUAUCUUAUUUUUCUUUUAACUUUUAUUACUUAGAUAUAGGAUUCAAUUUUUCAUAUCCGAUAUAGGUAAAUUAAUUAACGAAAUAAAAAAAAAAAUAAAUACUAUAUAUAAGAAUGUGGUCCGGUCCUGAUUUUUCAGGGUUCGGACCGGACCGGACCGGAGACCAGAUCGGAUAUAUUCGGUCCGGUCUGGUCCUGGACCGAUAGACCCGGUUCGAUCCGGUUUACAGGUCUGGACCGGAAAGUUGUGCAUCUCUAGUCAAAAUUACACUAUUUUAGUGUCAUGGAUUGUAGAUGAUCUUAAACAAAUCCUUUAUUUAAAUGGGGUUUGGUCGUUUAAAAACUCGAUUUUUAUAUUAAGGGUUUGAAAGAUGAAACUAUCUCUUUUAGAGCUCAAAGAGCUUUUUUUACAAGAAAAUAAAACACAUACUAGCACGUUUUAAUAUAUUUAUAAAAGAUAUUUUUAGAAAUGUAAUUUAUAAUUUAAUGUGAACAAAAUAUAUGAAAAAGUAUGAUGAUAAUAAUUUAAUAACUAAAUUACAAAGAAGAAAAUAAAGGGGUGUUUGGUUCGUCACAGUGAAUAAAAAAGGGAAAAGUAAACGAAUGAUCUUGAAUUGCUUUACCUAUUUGGUUUUCAUUCGAAAACGAAAUAAAAAUUAUAUGAUUAUUUUUAAUUUCAAUAUUAUAUAAUUUUACAAAAGCUAAAUAUAUUAUGUUUGUACCAAUAUAAUAUAUUUACAUAUUUUAUAAACUAAUAUAAUUUCUUGAUCAAAAAUUCAUUAAAAUUUUACUUUUUUAAGAUAUAAAUUACAUCAUUUUAGAAUUUAUAUAAUUUAUUUUUAAAUAUAUAUAUAUAUAUAUAAUAUUACAUUUUAUUUUUAUUUUAUAACAUUUUGAGAUAUAGAUUAUGAAAGUAAAAAAUAAGGAAAGGGAAAUCAAAAUGACCAGUGUUAGGCUCGGGAACACAGAAAAAUGCCUCGAAAAUCCAAAUGGUGGUUGCCUAUUCCUAGAGGGAAAGAUGACAAAAAGUUAGGAUGAGUAAACGAAACCUAUCCCUACAUUGGUGUGUAGAGAUUGGUGUCAUGUGUGUUACCAGAAUGCGUCGUACAUGUAAAGAGAGAGAAAGAGUUAAAGUACAUGUACAUGUAAAGGGAUAGGUCUGCGAAACCUAUCCCUAGGGUUAAAGUAGACGGUGCUCGAGUUCUGCAUAUUUAUCAUUGCUGUAAACCUCUGAAUUUCGGAUGAGCAUGUUGGUCAUGUAUCGCUAAAAAACAAGUAAAUUUGUUUAUAGAUAUCGAAUUUUGUAAGGCAUGCACUAACUAGAGCUAAAAAAAACAAGUAAAUUUGUUUAUAGAUAUCGAAUUUUGUAAGGCAUGCACUAACUACUUUUUUUAGCUAUGUGUUGAUUUUAUUGACCCAUAAUUCAUUAAUGUCCGUAACGGUACAAAAAUCCUUGUUAAUAACAAUUUCUCAUCAACAAAAUUUGUUCAUAGCAUGUAUACCCAUGACGUACAUUAAAAAGAUCCGUUACUUGUUAGUGAUAUGUUCGUGAAUAUACUUACAUUAGAAAAUUUGAUAAAUAUGUACUUUUUUCGUCACAGUGAGUUGUAUAAACGAGAAAAUGGGUUAAAAAAGAAAAGUAAAGUUAUACUCCCUCCGUCUCUUAUUAUUUUUCCUGUUUGGUUUCGACACGUUUGUCAACACCUAAUUUUGAUCGAUGAUAUUUUAAAUUUCGUAUUAGUAUUAAAUAUAAAACUUUAUCGUAUUAAAGUACUUAUAAAUACGAAUCUAACAAGACCACGCAUGAAUAUAUUUAUUCUUAUAAAAUAGACAUAAAUUAGUAGUCAAACGAUUAUAAUGAAUAAUGUAAAAAGUCAAAACGAGAAAUGUUUUUAGGCAGGGAGGGAGUAUAUAAAAUGAGUAAAAUGGUGGAAUUUAUAUUAUUAUAGAAUAAAUAUAAAGGAAGAAAGUAAUGAAUGUAAUAUUAUUUUACAUAAUUAAAAGUUACUAUUUGUGAAAUGAAUGAAAUUGACUGAGACGUUCCAAAAUAGUUAUUGCACAGAAAUAAAUGGGCCGGAAUAACUAUAAACAACAAAUAAGUUGAUUUUUUAAAUCAUAAAUAUUAUAUUUUUGUAAGAUGUGCAUUCUUUUUCUCAUUUUAACAGUCUUAUUUACAUUUUAUAAAAAUAUGCGGGGUUGGUAAAACUUUUACGUGUAAAUAUGAUUCGUGACAUCCUGCAUUUUAAUCUCAAAUGUCAAUAAUUUAAAGUGACAAGUUCACAAAAUAAUUUAAAUCUAAUAAUUCUCAUUCAUAAAACAUAAUUUCUAAUAUAAUUAGUGAUAGUAGUAUCACAAUCGUAAUAUUGUAACAAUCAUUUAGUUACACUUAUCCAUUCAAAUUCAUAAAUUAUGACAAUUACACCCACGCCAAAAACCAAUAUAAUCAUUUCCGCUAAACUCUCAAACAUGGCAUCACAGUAAAAUAAUUUCCUAUCAAGUUUAUAUUAAUAAUGUUUAGAAAUUUAAUAUAUAUACAAAAUUCUCCUAAUUGGAUUGAAUUAAGUUAGAUGAGAUUCAUGAUCAAAUUAUUGAAAUAAAUAAAUAGAAUUGAACUUGCCUAAACGAGUCAAACUCAAUUAUUAUUAUGAAUGAUUCUGUCCGUUUACGUACCAGCGAGAUUCAUUAACACGUUUGAUUAAUAACAAAACAAAAUACUCAAUUUAAGAAAAAUGCUUGGAAACAUAAAAAAAAAGUUCCUAAAAGUUUCACAAAUACACUCAUUCAGAAUAUGAAUGAUUGUAAAUAAUGAACUUAUAUUUUCUAGAAAAAGUUAUUUUAUAUUUAAAUUUAUUUCAUAACUAAGUUCACAUAUUUCUAGAAAUUAAAAUAAGUCAAAUAUAGUCACAUAGACCUUGUUUGGGCAAACUAUUCCCUCGACUUGUGACACCAGUUAAGCUUGACUUAAUUGUAAUUUGUAUUUGUUAAUUGAUUUAGUUAAUUCACUUUGCAUCUUAAAAUUUCACUAAUUUGCAUCUUUUCAGUAUCAAACUAGUCAUAUUUAAUGAGAACCUUGUUUAUUUUAUUUUCAUCAAAUAUUGAUCAUUAUGAUGGGUCAGAUGAAGUGAUUUUGAUAAUUUUUCAGCGCAAAAAUCAUUUUUAUCCCACUAGCUUUGUUAGGAGUCAAUUGGUUCGUGGAUUUCUGCUAUCAGGUAUGUGUUUCAUUCAUUCCAAACCCAUACGUUUGGUUGGAUUUUUUAUUUUACGAAACUCAUACCUCAAAUUCACAAGGUAUGAGAUUUUCAUAUCCAAGGGGGAAGGUUGUUAUGAAGUGUGGGUUUGGGAAAUUAACUCUUUCGGCAUCAUUUUCAUCUCCAUUUAUACUAUUUUGUUAAUGUAAAAUGAAAUAAUGACUCAAUAAUAUAAAAAAAUAUUAAUUAAACUUUUUUAAGAUCUGUAAUAAUUAAUUAUUCAAAAAUAUUUUGAAUUAAUUAUAUUCAUUCCACCACCCAACCAAACACAUAAGGAAUGAUACCUCAACCCCAUACCACCUUAACCCGAUUCCUGAUUUCAACCACAUACUUUCUUUCGAACCAAACGACUCCUUAAAAUGUUGAGAUGCUCAACACCUUUAACACGUCUUAGCCGAAUCGAUAGCCACCCUGUUCCUUUCCGGGAAGAAAGUCAAUUAACUUUGAUAAUAUAUGAGAACAUCCCCGAUUAUAAAAGUGAACGAGUAGAAUUGUUUAGGUGGCAUUUAGAUAUCACUUAUACAUAUUAUUUAAAAAAUUUAGAACUUCAAUCUUAUAUCUUUUUAGCAAAAAAUAUAACUAAUCAUAUAUUAUUGGUUAUAUUUGUCGAAUCAAGUGAAUCUUUAGACAUAAUCUUACAUAAUUAAUAAUAAACGUUAUAAAUAAACUCAUUAAAGUAUUUAUCUGAUCUCUUAACAAAACUUUUAUAUAACAAAUUUAGACAAUCAAUAUAGUCAAUUAUACUUACAUAUAAUUAUUUGGCAGAUGCUAUAACGAAUUGGUAUGCUAAGAAACCAAAGUUAAGGACCUUUGUAGUUUUAAAUAGGGGCGAGCAAAACCGAACCGGGAUGGAAAAACCGAACCGAACCGUGUAAAUUCGGUCCGGUUCGGUCCUAGUUUUUGAAAAUUUCGGUCCGUUCGGUCCGGACCGAAUAGACCGAAUUAAAAUUCGGUUCGGUCCGGUGCGUAAUAACAUAUUUCGGUCCGGAACCGAAUAGACCGAAUAGCCCAAACAAUAUAUAAUUUAUAUUUAUAUUAUUUAUAUUUUUAUAUAUUUAUAAGUUAUAAUUAUAAUAUCUUACUUGUAAAUUUAAUUAUAUCCAUCUUUGGUGAAGUAGAGGUGAUUAAUUGAUAUUAUUUUUUUAAUAAUUUAUGAAUUUAAUUUUAUUUAUAAUAUAAUUUUUUAAUUUUUAUACAAAGAAUUCGGUUCUUUUGGUCCGGACCGGACCGAACCGAAAUAAUUCGGUUCGGUCCGGUUCGGUCCAUAAUAGAAUUUCGGUCCGGUUCGGUCCGGGAAAAAAUGGAAAUUCGGUUCUCGGUCUAUUCGGUUCGGUCCGGUUUUGGACCGAACUGACCGAAUGCUCAACCCUAGUUUUAAAUAUCAGAUUUUCCUAUAAUAUUAUUUGACAAACACUGAAUUUAUAGCGAAUAUGAUAAAUCUAUACCGAAUAUGAUAAACUGAAUCUAUAAGAUUGUCCCCCUCAUGUUGCUGCAAAAUAUACAAGCUCCAUUUUUGUUUCAUAACCUUGUCAAACUUUGUGCGGUAUGUAAAUAAAUAAACCGAGUUGAUAAAGUAACUUUCACAGGUUUGGAAAGUAUGUACAGGCUACAGCAGAAGAGGUACAAGAAACAGACAUGAGAAAUGGAAUGGAAUGCGUGUAAUAAAUACAUGUCGUACAGUAAUAGCAAACGUUAGACAAAGGAGACAAUACUCACUGAUCAUUUCUAGCUGCAGCUAUAUGAAAGCAGGUACUUGAAGAAAAGACUCUUGUCUCCAUUAUCCACCAAGACACUUCAAAGCGAGUUCCCGUCCAAUCACAUUAUUGCGUCUUCAAACUAUUCUCACAUUUUAUACAUUCUAUACAUAUACUCCCUCUGUUCCCCGGAUUUGUAUACCUAGGGGGACGCGAACUCGGCACGCAUUCUAAGACGUCCGUAAAACAUGUUUUGAUAAGGUUUUUUUUGAAAUUUUUUUUUUCUGAAUAAAAGUUUAAAUGUUAAAUUUUAAUACAGAAAAAGAAAAUUUUGAAAAAAGAUUAUAGAAUUAUGUUUUGCAUGCGUCUUAAAAUACGUGUCGAACAAUGAAAAAAAAACGUAUAUAAUUAAAUGGGACGGAGGGAGUACACAACUCUCUUGCAUGAAAUCUGUUAGGUCCUUCAUUUUUACCUGAUACUACUGGAGAAUGGAGAUAUCUUUGACCAUAUGAGAAAAUCUUCAGACUUUCACAAAAAAGCAAAGGGCCAGGAUAUAUAGAAAAAGAAACCAUGCUUGAAAAUAAUAUUUUUCAGUACUGUAUUAUUCAUAAAUGUGUAAACAGAUCAGAGCUGAGACUACUUCAGAAGCCUGACCCAAAGUAAAUAAAAUCACCAAGUAAAUCUUUAAGCCUCACAGUUUUUCAAGUUUAUGAAGAUGGCCUUCAACACAUUGAUGCAUAUUCAAGUUUAUAUAGGAGUAUAUAUACUCCUUCCGUCCCUCUCAUUUCUUUACGUUAUUUUUCGGCACGUAUUUUGAGACUUCUAUAAAGUAUAGUUCUAUCACUUGUUUUUUUUGAAAAAAAUUCUAAAGAAAAGUUUGACAUUUAAAUUUUUAUUCAGAAAAAAGAAAAAUUAAAAAAAUGUAAUUGAAUUAUAUUUUAUAAGAGUCUCAAAAUACGUUCAAACAGUGAACGUAAACAACCUAGAGGUACGGAGGGAGUAUGUAUGUACUCUAUGUCAAACUGGGAAGCUAUAUGUGUCGAAUGCAGAGCAGGUACGUUAAGAAAGUAAUGAUCACAAGUUUUCGAGAUUCUAAAAAAAAUAAUCAAAUGGAGUCCGAGUGCCUGACAUUAAAAACGAAAGCAAUAGGAGUGAAGUGGGGUCACCUGUUGUUGUUGGAGGGCCUCUUGAUCACUUGCUACAGCAGUAUCUAUAUAUAUGAAAAAUUAAUCGUGGUUUUUCUUCCUGAGUAGUGCAACAAAUACAUUAAUAAUAAACGAAAAAUUUUAAAUUAGUUAUAAGCAACAAUCGUUAUUCCCAAUAUUCUUGUCAAAUUAAGGGACGUUUAGCGGAGUUUAAAAUAAGUGACUUCUGAUUUAAAAUAAAAUAACGGAUUAAAAGUGAUAAGUAGGUUAUGUAUAAAAGUGUUUGGAUAAGUCAUUUAUAAGUUAUCUAAGUGUUCGGAUAAGUUAACUUAUAAAUUUGUAUAUUUUGUAAUUUCAUAAUUUUAUAUACUUAUUCAAACAAAAAAUAUAAUACUUCUAUUCUGUUAAAAUGAUGAUUAACAAUUUUGAUUUCUUAGUUUAACUAGAAAAAAAAAAUAUCCUUCUCGUCUCAAAAUCCAAGUUUCUUUGACUUUUUACACGUAAUUUAACGAGCAUAAAAAUAUAUUUUCAACUAAUAUUUUUUGAAUUUUUUUACUUCUAAAUACAAAUAUAAGACAUAAAUUUUUAUUUACAAAAGAACAUUUCAAAUAAUAUUAAACCGAAGUAUCUUUUUAUACGUGUUAAAUUACGUGUAAAAUGUCAAACCAAUAUCUAUAUUGAGACAGGAAGAGUAUUAAAUUUAAAUUAUCUUAAAUUAAAUGUACAAAGAAUUUUUUAAAAAUAAAUUAUUAAAAUGAGUUGCUAAAAAGUUUCUAAUAUAAAAAAUAAGUUUUUAAUCAUAUUAUAUCAAAUUUGUUUGGAUAAAAUUCAUUUUGGGUGUAAAAACUAACCAGCAGAGAACUGUGAUAACAAAGGACAAGAAAAAGCUAUUGAAAAAAGAAAAAAAAGCAAGGUAACCUAGCUUCUAACUUCUUCAUGAAAACACUCAAAUAAGUGUUCCGAUUUAUUUUGCCGAACAGUCCGCGGAGUCAGAACCUUCCGUUCAUUGAAGAAAAGAGAAAAGGAAUAAUGCUUAUAAUUGAAAAAAAAAAACGAAAGUGAUGCCACCCAAACACCCACUAAAUAUUCGAUCAUUUACGACUUCCACGUGCAUGAGAAACCUCCCAUACAUGCAUGAUUUGACAAUUUAGGAUAAGCCUUAUUAGGUGCUUAUUAUUUUUUCUCUUAAAAUAAUUUAUUUUUGUAAUUUUAUUGGAUAUAAAUAUUAAAUAUUUAACAUUCAUCAUGUGAGAGCAAAACAAGGACUUAUUUUAGAAACAAAUUGCAUUUUAUGUAUUUUUUUUCAAAAAUAAGUUCUUACUUCUGAAAAAUAAGUUUAACCAAACGUCACAUUAUAUAUAAUUAUUCUCGGAACCCUGGAUUUCCUUAUAUAUGGUUAUAAAAGUAUUAAAUUCACAGGUUAAUCACACGGUUAUCUCACUUUAUACAAGACAAAAUUAUAAAAACAACUAUUUUUAAGAAAAAAACAAGACUUUAUAAGGACUUAUUUUAUUUACCCGAACAAGCUCUAAAUCAAUCAAUAAGUUGAAUGGUAAUGUUAAUGUUAGUGAUAAUCUUUAAUAUAAUUUUAUAUAAUUCAUAGUCCAAAUUAUGAGCCAUCUUAUAUUAGUUUCAUAAAAAGUAAAACUAAGAGAAAAAUUAAACUAAAAAGAUAAGAACAUGGUAACUAGCAGAACAUAAACAAUCCAUCAGAUAAAAACAAAAUUUAAAUAGGAGUACGAAUUUACUUCGCCAAAAGUUCGAAUAUAUUUUCAUAGAUAUCAUACUAGAAGUACCAAAAGUUCGAAUAUAUUUUCAUAAAUAUCAUACUAGAAGUAGAGUUUUAAUUAAAUAUUUAACUAGAGAAGAUUAUAUAUAUCUACCAAAACCAAUAUUUUUUGGUUUUGGAAGCUGCCAACUCCUCCCUCUCUUUCUUGUCAGCAGCUAGCAUCUCUGAGACACAAGCUACCGUCUUCUGAUGAGAGGCUUCCACGGUCUCUUUCAUCUCCUGUUAAUUAACACACACAAACACAAAUAUUUGUUUUAGUGCUAACACACACAAACACAAAUAUUUGUUUUAGUACUAAUCGGAAGAAAAAGUAAAUACAUGUUAUUAAUUCUUCAAAAUAUAUCAAUAUUUUUUAAAAUAUCAUGUGAUAAAUCUUAAAAGAUUAUUAUUUGGAUAUCAAACUUUAUUUCACGUUUAUUUAUUAUUUACUAAAUCUUAAUUUUCUAAGCGCAAUUUUACACACAGUUUUUUUACUAAAUUUUUAUGUAUUGAUACAUGCGUUAGAAAACUGCUUUACAGUAUCCAAUUUCCAGAAAUUAUAGGUUAGCCCGGUGGUCUAGAAUGUCUGGAUCCGCCCCUCCCAACAAAUAUACAUACACUCCCAAGCAUAUAUAUAAUAAAUUGUAGCAACAAUCAAAGCAGUCGGAAUUAAAUCAGAAAACACAAAAACACAGAAUUAGGGUACAUUUAUUUCUAUAUAAUCAUACGUUAGAAAACUGCUUUACAGUAUCCAAUUUCCAGAAAUUAUAGGUUAGCCCGGUGGUCUAGAAUGUCUGGGUCCACCCCUCCCAACAAAUAUAUUAGAAUUUAAAUAAAUGAGUAGUCCAUAUUAAUAUUAUAAACUAAAUUUAUUAUUAAUAUAAAUUUAAUUCAAUCCCGUUUUUUACGAGAUGAAUAUACACAAUGAAUGGAUGGUAACACCACUACGACAAACGUAAUUAAACUCUACCGACAAAGAACACAUUGUGACUACAAUAUAAAUAAUUGCAAUACGAAGUUAAUGCAAAGAAUUUUUUAUAUAAAUAAUUUAAAUAAUAUAUAUUAAAAGAUGAUAUUGUAAUUAUAUAAAAAAUAUUAUACUUCUGAUAAAUAAUAAAUUUAAUAAAUUUAUAUGAACCGUACUUGACAUGGGUCAUAAGCUUAUACAUUAUAAUAACAUAUCUAGUUACAAUAACAUUUUACAGUAAAUUAAAAGUUUUUGUGACGACUAAGAGCGUGUUUGUGUGGGCUUAAAGUCCGACUUUAAACUUGAAAAUGUCUGUUUGUGUAAUAAGCCAGAAGUCGGCUUAAAGUCAGAAAUAAGCUAGAAGCUGACUUAAAGGCAUAAGUUAGUUUUAGGUACUUUUUUCAGUAAACUUUUUAAAACUUUGUUUUAUAUAAAAUUACCUAUAAACCAUAAAUUACUUUAAAUUAUUUUUAUUUUUAUUAUUAUAUUUUUAAUAACUCGUAAGUCAUUAAUAAGUCAAAAUUACCCAAACAGACAUUUUAAACUACCGACUUAUUAUAUUAAGUCACGUUAAGCCAUAAGUCACGUUAAGUCAUAAGUUCUUUAAAUUAAAUUUUUACUAUUCUUUAUUAGUAUUUCUGGGGGAGCUUACUCCCGUGUGUAAGAAAAGAGAUGUCAAAGAAAAACUACGAAAUGGGGAUCAGAAUUACAUUACAAAGCUUAUAAUCCACAAGUGACCUGAUUGUUAGUAAUACUAAAAGAGCAUUGAUGUAGAAGCUGCACCUGACCCAUACGAUAACGGGAGAAAUGUUGCUCCUUUUCUCAGGGACACUCUCCGCAGAAAUGAGUAACAUUUACUCUCCAUGUAUUAGGGUCAAGAUGUAUAUUCGGUAAAUAUUGAAGGCUGGACCGGACAUUAUUAAAUUUUAAGGGUUGAUGUACAGAUGAGGACAAAUUUAGAUGGCAAACAUAGAUUUAAGCCUAUAAUAAAUUGUAGCAACAAUGUCGGAAAUUAAAUAUCAGAAAACAUAAAAACACAGUAUUAGGGAUACUUAGAAACAUACCACAACUGCCUUUUCAAUCAUUUUUUGAACUACUUCUGUGGUCUCUGGACUGGUCACCUUAUCGUAGUAGUAGUCCAGACUCACCGCGACGGUGAGGCUGCCCACCACAAGUCUUGCCACUUGCUCAAUGAGAGUCUGCAAAAAAAAAAAUCAGUAUUCAUAAAAUCACACAAAUGAAAAUGAAAACGAAAAUGAAAACGAAAACGUUACCGGAGGCACGUAGUCGCAAAAACGGUCUCCGCCGCCUCCGCUGCCUCCGCCGCCGCAACCACUACCUGAUCCACCUCCCCCACCGGCUGAAACAACAAGCACACCACGAACAGCGCCUCCGCCGCCUCCGCUGCCUCCGCCGCCGCAAACAGCUGGGACACCACCAACAGUUCCUCCACCGCCUCCGCUGCCUCCGCCGCCGCAAACAGUACCACCAACAGUGCCUCCGCCGCCUCCGCUGCCUCCGCCGCCGCAAACAGGAGGCACACCUACAACAUCGCCUUUCGUAGACGCGGGGAGUAGAAGCAAUUUAGAGAACCUUCUCAUCAUUGUGGCUGGUUUGAAGAGAGAAGCUAAUGGAUAAAUGCUUAGAUAAAUGCUUAGGGUUUUUCAGAGUUUGAUCCCUUCUUCGAGUUCGCGUUAUAGUGGUAAUAAAGAUAGUGGUAAUAAAGAUAGAGAUAGUGGUAAUAAAGUAAUAACGGACUGAUCAGGAAUCCCUUCCCCUUCUACCCCGGUUCUUCGUUGCGUUUCCCAAACUGCCCUACUCUUUAUUCAACUUCCUAAACUACCCACAUUUCUGUACAUCUUCCCUCCCACCCAGCAUAUUUGAUCUAUAAUAAUAAAUGUUACAUGUUUUUUUAAUUAUUUGACGAUUAAUGAAAUUGCUUAAUUUUUUCAAGUUAUUAUAAACUAAUUAGGAAAAUCAAGUGUUGCUUGACAAAAGAAAAUCUAGAUAUUCGUAAGAAAAUGACUAAUUCUUUAUAUAAAUUUAAAAUUACAAAAGUAGUAAGGACAUAUCUUCUAAUAAAAGAAAUAGUUAAUAAAAUAAUAAUUUAUGGACAAACAUAAUUCAGAUAUGCUCUUCUUAUUACAUCUCACUAUCUCAGGGGUAUAGUGUAGAUUUAAAUGUAUUAAUAAUAAUUUAUUAAUUUUAAUAAAUUAUAUUUGAUUUUGAUUUAAUUUUGAUUUUGUAUAGGUUUUAGAUUAAAAAAUCGCAUGAACUGAGUCUUUAUAUUCACAAUAUUUCGAAAUUUCAUGAACUAUAGUGAAAUUUCAAAAAAUAUAAAAUAUACUGAAUAAUUUCACAAAAUCAAUUAUUUUAUGAACUUAAAAAAAACAAUUAGAUAUUUAUGGAUUUUAAAUAAUCACAAUUGAAAUUUGAAUUAUAUCUUUUAAAAUUUUGAUUGAAUAUAUCCCCGUUAAUUUAAUAUUUUCACGAUAUUUUACAUUUUAUAUCUAUCUAUUUUACAUCUAUUUAUAAGUAGUAUAUUUUAUGUCGCAUGUAUAAAUUUUAGAAUUAAAUAGGUUCAGGAGUCAAUUUAACCAAAAUAUAUAUGCUGGCCUGAUGAGAAGAAAUGAAAGGUGGGUACUCAGGGAAACUUGGAAGAAAGGUGGGUAACUUGGGAAACUGAACAUAAAAGAUGGGCAGAUCAGGAAGGGAUUCACUGAUCAGUCGUGUUGUCUUUCUUUUUCUGCCAGCAGCUCAUGGUAUCAUGUUUAGCAGAAUAUAGAAAACAUCACUUUCGCGUGUUAAUCGACUGCGUCCAUCCAGUUACAUGUAAGUUAACAAGGUUGACUGGGGUAAAAUUUUACUUUUUCACUUCUCUAGCAUUAACCAGCCACAUUCAACUCUUCACUUUUUUAUUUGCUCCAAAAGCUUACCAACAGUUGUUCAUUGCAUGGAGUGACAAUGUUGAGACAAAUCUUGUUGGUUCUUUAAUAUAAGUAAAAUAAAAAAAAUAUCGUUUAUUUAAAAAGUAAAAUACAUGUAGUUAAAAAGUAAUUUUACUCCAAUCGUACUCCCUAUAAUAUUUCAUUAUAACUGAAAACAUAAUAUUUAUUCACAUUUUGAAUAAUAUAGGCAAGUUGCGGAAGAGUUGGACUUUCAACUAGACUAGAUAUAUGUUGGACCAUAGGAAGCAAAUGAGGAAAUCGACAUACAUACUAACAAGCAUGUAAAAAUCAGAAAUUGAUACGACUCGUUUUGUUCCUGAGAAAAUGAAUAUUCGAAACUCGAAAGACACUCAAAAUGACUACUCGGAUAUCUUUUUUUAUAUAUACUUUCAUAUUUUAUUUUAUAUUACUAUAUUAAUUUAAUCAAAAAAUUUAAAACAAAUAAUAAUUAAUCACGUCUAUUGCCUCAAACUCAUUCUAAAACUUUGGGAGAAGCAAUUCAAUUAGGAAUAUUUUACUACUAUCUCAGUUUCUUUGAUUUGUCUACUUGAGAGAACAAUAAAAUUGCAAACAAAUAAUAUUAAUUAGAUUUUUUCAUGUUUGGACCUCUGCAAAUUGGACUAGGUGUAUUAAAAUUUUAAACCUCAAAGAGUAAACUCCGAGUUUGACCCGAGUACUCGAAGUCAAAUUGAGUUUUGAUCAAUUUUCCACAAAAUUCAUUAUGUCCAUGAUUACUCGAAACUCGAAUCGGGUGACAGGAUGAAAACGAGUACUCGAACGACUCAAAAGAUUCAGAACUCUAGAAAGGAUUAUGCAUGACUCACCGAUUUGAUGUACUUCUUGAUUCUAAACAUCUAAUCUAUGAUGUUAAAGCCUAGCGAAAUAAAUUAUUAUUAUAUAUAUAUAUAUAUAUAUAUAUAUAUAGAUAUAUCAUAGUUAAAAAAUCCAUAUUUGAAUUUUUAUUUAUGAAAUUAAUUUUUGUAAAAGUAAUUAUGUGAUUGUGCGAUUAAUGCACAUUAGAAUAACAUGUUUAACGUAAACUAGCUUAUACAAUUUAGGUGGAGGGAGCAGUGGAUAUAAUAAAAUAAAUCUUAGAUUUACAUUAUUGAAAAUUAUUGAAUUUUAGUAUUUUUACUCAUCCGAAAAGUGUCAUUUUAUUUUAUACACGUGAUUUGAGGUGAAAAAUAUAUUUUUAUAAUUAUUUUUUCUUGUGAUAUUGACUGCACUAACCACUCAGGCACUCUCAAUAAAGUUGUACUCUCUCAGUCCUUUUAGUUGUCCAAUUCACAAAAAAUAUUGUCUCCAAAUAACUGUCCCUUUGAUUUUUGUAAACUAUGUCUAGAUUCCAAGUUUCAUUAUUUAACAUUACAACUAUAAUAAUGAUGUUCAAGUGAUUUAGGAUAUAUAAAUUCCAACAACAUGUAUUAUAAUUGUGUCUUAUUAUUAAAAUAGUAAUAUAUUUGAAUGUUAUUGGAGGGAAAGGAAAAUAUAAGAGUAAAGAGAUGUAUUGAAAUGGAGGGAAAUCAAUAUUUUAUUGAAAAAAAUAGUUUAGGAUAAAGAUAGCAGUGUCUUAAAAGUAGGACACUUGUUGAUUGUCCUAGUGUUUUAAGACACCACUACGACAUUGUUAAAUCACUAUUUUUUUUAAAUUUCUUAAAUUUGAAUUUAGGACAAUAAUUUAGGACAUUAUUUGCCUUGAGUUAGUUUCACCAAGCUUCAAUACUUUCGAGAGAGCUAUUAAUGUAAUUACAACAACUAGCUUUACACUCCUGCAAUGCACGGGAUUUUAUUUAAUUAUUCAUUUCUUGGUUUUAAAAUUUUAGUGAUUUUUCAAUUUUUUUAUCAAAAUUAAUAUUUGCCAACUUUUAAAUUAGAUUAGUUUAAGAUAUAAUAUAUUAUAUUAUUUUAAAUGUUUUAUCUAAAUUUAGUUAUUAUAUAUAUUAUUUAUAGGAUGUAUUUAAGAUUUUUAUAUUCUUUCAUAUAGUUUUAGGUACAAAGCUAAGCUAUUAUAUUUAUGUUUAAACUAAUAUUAUAUGAUUAGUUAUGCAUGCAUUAUAUUUAUUAUAAAUAUAAUUAUUUAUUUUUAGUUUUAAUUAUCAGUUAGCUUUGUGGGAUAUGUUUUUUUUCUUAUUUUUGUUUAUUAUAGAUCUAUCAAAUUAUUUGAUACUAAUUUAUUUUUACACUAGAUUAUAUUUUCUCAUAUAAUAUUUGAUUCAGAUAUUAACUAUCAUAUAUUAUAUUUUAGCUAUCAUAUUUUAUGUUCCCUCCGUUCAAAAAUAGAAGUCCCUUAUUUAAUUUUAGUUCGUCGGUAUUUUUCACUCGUGAGAAUUUAUCACCCAUUUCAUAAUAUAUGUACACUUUUGAAAAAAUCACAUAUAUUAAGAAAGCCUAAUUUCAAAAUGUAAUUUACAUUUUCAAUCAUAUUUAAUAUAUUGACUAAAUAAAACAUGUGGAUUAUAACUAGUUUUGGAAAUAUAAAUUAGAAAUCUGUGGUUUAGAGUUCAUCUUGAAUUAUAAAUAAUUAAUUAUACUACAUAAAAAGUUGAAGUAGACAAUUAUUUUGAAACAAAAUUUCCUUUUAAAAAUAGACAUGUAAUAUGAAACGGAGGGAGUAAUUUGUACGGCAAGAGAAGUACUCAUCUGUCCCAAUCGUUUGUAUACGUUUGGUUUGGACACGGAGAUCAAGAAAAAGUGUAAAAAGUGAGUAAAGUUAGAUGAAAAACGGGUAGUCUCGCUUGAUAUGAUCAGAUUCUCCUGAUGGUUAGUCUCGCCUGAGGAUCAGCCUCGCGUGAAGAUCAGUCUAGUCUGAUAUGAUCAGCCUCUCCUGAGGAUCAGUCUCGCCUGAGGAUCAGCCUCGCUUGAAGAUCAGUCUAGCCUGAUAUGAUCAGUCUCUCCUGAUGAUCAGUCUCGCCUGAUGAUCAGCCUCGCCUUGAAGGUCAGCCUAGUCUGAUAUGGUCAGCCUCGCCUGAAGGUCAGCCUAGUCUGAUAUGGUCAGCCUCGCCUGAAGGUCAACCUCGCCUGAUGAGGUCAGCCUCGUCUGAAGACAUCAACCUCGUCCGAAGACGUCAACCUCGUCCUAAGACAUCAGCCUCGCCAGAUACACCUGUCUCGCCCAAUGCCUGGGCACUAUUAUUUAUAUACUCAGCCACGCCCUCAGAGAGGACAGACGACUAGCCCAUACAGCUAACUCAAAGGAGGUCCACAUGGGCUGGAUCGGGUGUCAAAACCGGGAUGUCGGGUCAGCCCAUCUAGUCUCAUGCUCCUUAGAGAAGGAUGGGCCUCAGCGGCCCAUAUCUGUCUGAUAUAAGGCUGUGGCCCAUCAGCUGGAAUUCCGUGAUGAGAAACCAACUCGGAUUGGGUUUCUAAACCCAUUCUGAUUAGGUUACUUGUUCUCCAACAACUACGUCUGGCUUGAUCCCUAUAAAUAGGGUACGUAUGGCACAUUGUUUGGGAUAAGCCGCAAUGCAAGAAUGAAUACUUCUUCUUCUUGUGAGAGACCUCUAAUUUCCAAACGAUUUCAGCCAAAAUCAUAAACCAUCUACCCACUCCGCCGUUCACCGUCAUCAACCACCACUAUUUUUCAGCAGGCCUUCCCGAAUCUUGUUAUCACCAGAUUCCUCCGUUAACAAUUGGCGUUAGAAAGAGGGGGCUCUUGACAUCUAUUGGAGGAAGGAUGUCCCUGAACAAAUAAUAAAUUUCUGAACAUGAGGAUCGUGUAAAUAAUAUAUUGGAGGGAGGAUUGGUACGAAGGAUUCAAAUCUACUCCGACGUCAAAGACUGGCCAAUGUCAUGACAUAGCAAAUAAGGCUAUAAAACGGAUAAUACGGAUGCGGAUAUGCCUAUAUCUUUUUUCGUAUCCGAAACUGUCGGAUUCAGAUACGGAUAAUAUCCGCUUUGUUUCGAAUACGGAUAAUAUCCGUUUUUUUCCGGAUACGGAUGCAGAUAUUUCGGACGGAUAUCGGACUUUUAAAGUUUUUGGAAGCGUAUUAACCAUAAUUAUUUAUUCGUUUCAAUAUAAACUUAUUAUUUUUAACAUAUUAAACUCUAGUAAUAUUUUCAUAUAUGUCUAUAAUGAUUAUACAAUCAUAAAAAACUGUAUAUAUAGAUUAUUAACUAAUAAACACACAAAUACUAUAUACGAGUAGAAAAUAUAUAAUUUAAAUACCAUAUGUAUUUAUAUAAUUUAAAUAUUAUAUAUAUUUAAUUUCGGAUUCGGAUACUCCGGAUUCAGAUACGAAUAAUAUCCGCUUAAUUUCGAAUACGGAUAAUAUCCGAUUUUUUCCGGAUACGAAUGCAGAUAUUUCGGACGGAUUUUUCGAAUUUUUUUUUACACCCCUGAUAGCAAAGGAGGCUCGCCUGGUAAAAAGGUGGCGACGCUUAGUAUAAAUAAACAAUAAAGAAGAUAAAGCUUCAAGUAGUUGACAACAAAACACGAGAGUGUGGCUCGCUUGAACGAGGAAUAUGCACGGGACGAGGCUUGUUGCAAACUUGAGUUUAUUAAAAUUGGUGGGACCCACGCUUGAAUAAAGGAAUCAAGACCAUAGACAUACACAGAGUCACAGACACGGGCUCAGAGAUAAGUCUUUCUCCUUUUCUUCAUUCAUAUCGUGCAUAAUUUUCCUUUUCUUGAAACGUCAUGCAAAACAUAUAAUCUGUAUUUUCAUUAUUCCUUGAUUUAAAUUUUAUAAAUGCAUGUGUGAUAGAUCGUAAAAUAUAUAUUAUUCAUAUUUUAAUAUAUUAUGAUGCAUGCUUUUCUUUCUCAUAUUCUGUACAUAUUUAGUAUUUAAUAUUUCAGAAAUCAUGAUACUUUUUUAUAAUUCAAGUUCCAUAAUACAUCUUUUAUUUAUUUAAUUAUUAUUAUUUAUUCUUCGCAUGCAUAUUUUUAGAUCAAAUAGAUUAUAUGUUUUAAUUUUUUUAACUUGUUAUUAUUAUACAUGAAUUUGUAUGAAUUUGUAUAUAUCGCUGGCGUUGAUAUACUACAGCAGGAAAAGGACUAAUAGUUUACAAAUGUGAGGGUGCAGCAAGUUAGUGGAUAAAGUAUAAACAUACAGGGAGCGAGGCUUAUGUUCAAAGUCAUAAUAAAAUGUAGCCAGACAUAUGGUUCCUGUAUUGGUAUAAAAAAGACACAUGUAACGGGGGAAGCUAUCAAGUUGAGGAGCUUUAAUGUCGCAUGUAGCGGGCACGUGUGAAUGAUAUACAUGUGAAGUACGGAGCUUGCUAGACGACGAGGCCAAGCUGCAAAGAUGGCCAGAGACGACGUUGAAAACAGAAGAUUGCAAGUCUUGGCUUGAUGCAGCAUGAGAGUCGCCUGACCAAAAAGGUUGCAACGCUAGUGUCUAAAAUAAAAAAGAAACAGGAGUCUACGUGUACAAAAGGUGCAUAUAGUAAGCCGGGUCAAUAUGUACAAAGAAGAAGCUGUCGAGGCAACAAAAGUGUUGUUUAAUAUACCAGGUUCAACGGCUCGCUUAAACAAAAAAUCAAUUUGGGAGACAAAGCAAUGAAAACGGCGAGAUAUUCAUAUGAAAAUACAUAAUCAAAUGAAAACAAUGGCAUGCAAAGUUUAAGUGGCAAAGAAUUUUCUGCACAGGAAUGAAGAAACGUGAAGAUGGACAACAACGAAGAUGGCGACGCUGGUAAAACAAAAAGAAAAAAAAACAAGAAAGACUCGCUCAAAGGUCACAGUGACGCACUGAUGCUACAAGGUGACAUUGACGCACUGACGCUACAAGGUGACAUUGACGCUACAGAUUAAAGGAAGAAACUGUUGAGUGGGUGUCAACCCAAGUACCACAUCGAAAAGAUAAAGAAGAUUUGUCUUGAAUAUAAGCAGCCAAAUAACUCCAUUAGUAUGAGGCCUUUUGGGAGGAGCCCAGAAACAAAUCCGUGCGGGCUUGGCCACGGCCCAGAGCGGACAAUAUCAUACUAAUGUGAGUUUAUGGGUGUUGCGCGGCCCAACAACUGGUAUCAGAGCCAGGUUAAGAAGUUGAUCUUGGGAUUGCGGGCUGCAAGUUGUGUGAUGUGGGGAGGUUCUCCGGAACUGCGAUUGAAGGUCUUGGACGACUUGUGUCGAAAGUCUUCCUGACACUGAGGUGGUCGGGUGGCGUGUCCCGCAAGAUGAGGAAAUACGAUGAGUAGCGGCGGUAUAAGAGUCACAAGAUUGGUGGUUCUUGGAUUGAGGGGAGAUUGUUGAGUGGGUGUCAACCCAAGUACCACAUCGAAAAGAUAAAGAAGAUUUGUCUUGAAUAUAAGCAGCCAAAUAACUCCAUUAGUAUGAGGCCUUUUGGGAGGAGCCCAAAAACAAAUCCGUGCGGGCUUGGCCACGGCCCAGAGCGGACAAUAUCAUACUAAUGUGAGUUUAUGGGUGUUGCGCGGCCCAACAGAAACAAUGUGUCCCCACGUCAAAAGAAUAUUAAGUCUUGUAGAAUACAGUGUGACAUAGUAAUAGCGAGGAGCUUUCAAAAUCAAACCAGAAGGUGAGCCUGCAACAAGUUUGUGGGAAAAAUAUAUACGUACAAAGUAGCGAGACUUCAAGUAAUGACACGAGGUGCGAGACUAAGGUAGUGGCAUGGUCGAGGCUCUAGGGUGUCGCAUACUAGUAUAUAUGCGAGGACGACCAUAUAUAUAUAUAAAAAACAAAAAAAAAGAAUGAAGGAAAUCGCAAGACCUACAACAUAUCUCUACAACAACAACAACGAGAUUAAGGUGAUAACAUAAAAGCAAGGCGAAGGUGGUGAUACUUGCACCGGAAUGAAGGUGUUUGAAAUCGCAAGACCUACAACAUAUCUCUACAACAACAACAACGAGAUUAAGGUGAUAACAUAAAAGCAAGGCGAAGGUGGCGAUACUUGCACCGGAAUGAAGGUGUUUGAUCUAAAAAAUAAAUUUGGCGAGGCUGUAACAUAAAGUUGCAAAUUUCUAUAUAAAAGCAUUUUGCUGCAAGAUGGUGAAGGCCUCGCUUAAUAAAAUGUUGGCUGGCAGUUCGUCAAGAAGAAUGCGUGCUUUUGUUGAAGAAAAUAUAUAGUCAAAGAAGCUGACCUAACAAGGAGAUGUGCACAAACAUUUUAAAAUCCUGCUUUGUUUAUGGAUGAUAAUUGAACUUGUUGCUGUUAAAGGCGAGGAAGAGCUGCGUAUAUAUGCAGGACAGACCCUGUGAGCUAGUGAAAGAAUAUGAAGCUCAAAAUUAUAUAAUUAUGUGCAUAAGGGGCCGAUAUAAAUAGUCUAUCUUGUAUUUGAGGGGAACACUGCAAUAUAUAAGGGGAAGCCGGAGUAAAUCUAUCAUCCUGACAAAUUCUUAGCUGAAUAAAGCAAGUCUGGUACAAAAGAAUAGACAAAAAUAAUGGCAUGAGGCGAGGUGAUUGCCUUCAUACGAGGACCGUAGAGAGACCCACCUCACGAAAACAAGGUAAACAUGAAGGCGAUGACUUGAUAACAGCGUUGUUAGUGAAAGAAGAAGAAAGUCCUUUUGCAUUCAUGCUUCAAGGUCUUGGGGGUAAUAGUUGUUAUGCUCUAAGUAUUAAUUAUGCUAUCAGUUGUUGUAAUCUCGCCUCCGUGACAGUUAUCAAGAGAAGUGAUCUGUUGACAGCCUCGUUCGAGCCACUGCCACAUCCGACCUGAAGACUUCAGCCUUGCCUGACGAUAAUAUUGAUAUUAGUAAAUCUAUGGAAGACACACAAUCUGCAUCAAUAUAAAAGGCUCUCUCUAAGGAUGAUUUUCAAAAGAUAGGUAUAUCAACACUUUUCCAGCCAAGAAAGAGAAAUGCCUCCAUUCGUCAAUAUCAGUUUGUAUCAAGGAGCAUUAUAAUCUUCCAAGCCUCGAGGGUAGAAGAUACACUCCCUCAGAUCCAGAGUACCAAGCAAGCGUACAUUUUAUCUUACAAUUUAUAUUUUCUUUUAUAAACGUGUUUCUAUAGGCUCAGCUUGGAUCACGAAGACCAGAGGGAUGUCUCUGUUGCUUAUUUUCAAGACCAGAGUGAUGUCUCUGUUGCUUAUUUUCAAGACCAGGGGGGAUUCCCUGCUGCUUAUUUUGUCAUCCUUUGUAUAAUAGAGAUACAAGGAUGACCCCCACUGAUCCCUCGCUGGUCACUCCUUCGGGAUGAACAGCGACACAUCCUAUGCCUUGGUGGCCCGUACUUCCGGUCUCCCACGAAGAAGACCCUCCGGGGUGCAUCUUAGGAGAACCCUCAGGAGUUGGAAUUUAAUUAAUUCUUUAUAUUUACGUUUUUAUUUUCCUAAGUCAGGUGGAGGGCGACGGUCCCCCUGCUUAGAAGCCCUCGGCUGUGGAUGAUUUCCCCACAAGCCUCGGAGGAUGAAUUUUCCCUAAGUCAGGUGGAGGGCGACGACCCACCUGCUUAGAAGCCCUCGGCUGUGGAUGANACUGGUAUCAGAGCCAGGUUAAGAAGUUGAUCUUGGGAUUGCGGGCUGCAAGUUGUGUGAUGUGGGGAGGUUCUCCGGAACUGCGAUUGAAGGUCUUGGACGACUUGUGUCGAAAGUCUUCCUGACACUGAGGUGGUCGGGUGGCGUGUCCCGCAAGAUGAGGAAAUACGAUGAGUAGCGGCGGUAUAAGAGUCACAAGAUUGGUGGUUCUUGGAUUGAGGGGAGAUUGUUGAGUGGGUGUCAACCCAAGUACCACAUCGAAAAGAUAAAGAAGAUUUGUCUUGAAUAUAAGCAGCCAAAUAACUCCAUUAGUAUGAGGCCUUUUGGGAGGAGCCCAAAAACAAAUCCGUGCGGGCUUGGCCACGGCCCAGAGCGGACAAUAUCAUACUAAUGUGAGUUUAUGGGUGUUGCGCGGCCCAACAGAAACAAUGUGUCCCCACGUCAAAAGAAUAUUAAGUCUUGUAGAAUACAGUGUGACAUAGUAAUAGCGAGGAGCUUUCAAAAUCAAACCAGAAGGUGAGCCUGCAACAAGUUUGUGGGAAAAAUAUAUACGUACAAAGUAGCGAGACUUCAAGUAAUGACACGAGGUGCGAGACUAAGGUAGUGGCAUGGUCGAGGCUCUAGGGUGUCGCAUACUAGUAUAUAUGCGAGGACGACCAUAUAUAUAUAUAAAAAACAAAAAAAAAGAAUGAAGGAAAUCGCAAGACCUACAACAUAUCUCUACAACAACAACAACGAGAUUAAGGUGAUAACAUAAAAGCAAGGCGAAGGUGGUGAUACUUGCACCGGAAUGAAGGUGUUUGAAAUCGCAAGACCUACAACAUAUCUCUACAACAACAACAACGAGAUUAAGGUGAUAACAUAAAAGCAAGGCGAAGGUGGCGAUACUUGCACCGGAAUGAAGGUGUUUGAUCUAAAAAAUAAAUUUGGCGAGGCUGUAACAUAAAGUUGCAAAUUUCUAUAUAAAAGCAUUUUGCUGCAAGAUGGUGAAGGCCUCGCUUAAUAAAAUGUUGGCUGGCAGUUCGUCAAGAAGAAUGCGUGCUUUUGUUGAAGAAAAUAUAUAGUCAAAGAAGCUGACCUAACAAGGAGAUGUGCACAAACAUUUUAAAAUCCUGCUUUGUUUAUGGAUGAUAAUUGAACUUGUUGCUGUUAAAGGCGAGGAAGAGCUGCGUAUAUAUGCAGGACAGACCCUGUGAGCUAGUGAAAGAAUAUGAAGCUCAAAAUUAUAUAAUUAUGUGCAUAAGGGGCCGAUAUAAAUAGUCUAUCUUGUAUUUGAGGGGAACACUGCAAUAUAUAAGGGGAAGCCGGAGUAAAUCUAUCAUCCUGACAAAUUCUUAGCUGAAUAAAGCAAGUCUGGUACAAAAGAAUAGACAAAAAUAAUGGCAUGAGGCGAGGUGAUUGCCUUCAUACGAGGACCGUAGAGAGACCCACCUCACGAAAACAAGGUAAACAUGAAGGCGAUGACUUGAUAACAGCGUUGUUAGUGAAAGAAGAAGAAAGUCCUUUUGCAUUCAUGCUUCAAGGUCUUGGGGGUAAUAGUUGUUAUGCUCUAAGUAUUAAUUAUGCUAUCAGUUGUUGUAAUCUCGCCUCCGUGACAGUUAUCAAGAGAAGUGAUCUGUUGACAGCCUCGUUCGAGCCACUGCCACAUCCGACCUGAAGACUUCAGCCUUGCCUGACGAUAAUAUUGAUAUUAGUAAAUCUAUGGAAGACACACAAUCUGCAUCAAUAUAAAAGGCUCUCUCUAAGGAUGAUUUUCAAAAGAUAGGUAUAUCAACACUUUUCCAGCCAAGAAAGAGAAAUGCCUCCAUUCGUCAAUAUCAGUUUGUAUCAAGGAGCAUUAUAAUCUUCCAAGCCUCGAGGGUAGAAGAUACACUCCCUCAGAUCCAGAGUACCAAGCAAGCGUACAUUUUAUCUUACAAUUUAUAUUUUCUUUUAUAAACGUGUUUCUAUAGGCUCAGCUUGGAUCACGAAGACCAGAGGGAUGUCUCUGUUGCUUAUUUUCAAGACCAGAGUGAUGUCUCUGUUGCUUAUUUUCAAGACCAGGGGGGAUUCCCUGCUGCUUAUUUUGUCAUCCUUUGUAUAAUAGAGAUACAAGGAUGACCCCCACUGAUCCCUCGCUGGUCACUCCUUCGGGAUGAACAGCGACACAUCCUAUGCCUUGGUGGCCCGUACUUCCGGUCUCCCACGAAGAAGACCCUCCGGGGUGCAUCUUAGGAGAACCCUCAGGAGUUGGAAUUUAAUUAAUUCUUUAUAUUUACGUUUUUAUUUUCCUAAGUCAGGUGGAGGGCGACGGUCCCCCUGCUUAGAAGCCCUCGGCUGUGGAUGAUUUCCCCACAAGCCUCGGAGGAUGAAUUUUCCCUAAGUCAGGUGGAGGGCGACGACCCACCUGCUUAGAAGCCCUCGGCUGUGGAUGAUUUUCCCACAAUCCUCGGAGGAUGAUUGUUUUCCUAAGUCAGGUGGAGGGCGACGACCCACCUGCUUAGAAGCCCUCGGUUGUGGAUGAUUUCCCCACAAGCCUCGGAGGAUGAAUUUUCCCUAAGCCAGGUGGAGGGCGACGACCCACCUGCUUAGAAGACCUCGGCUGUGGAUGAUUUCCCCACAAGCCGCUUAGAAGCCCUCAGCUGUGGAUGAUUCCCCCACAAGCCUCGGAGGAUGAUAUUUUCCCUAAGUCAGGUGGAGGGCGACGACCCACCUGCUUAGAAGCCCUCGGCUGUGGAUGAUUUCCCCACAAGUCUCGGAGGAUGAAUUUUUCCUAAGUCAGGUGGAGGGCGACGACCCACCUGCUUAGAAGCCCUCGACUGUGGAUGAUUUCCCCACAAGUCUCGGAGGAUGAAUUUUCCCUAAGUCAGGUGGAGGGCGACGACCCACCUGCUUAGAAGCCCUCGGCUGUGGAUGAUUUUCCCACAAUCCUCGGAGGAUGAUUGUUUUCCUAAGUCAGGUGGAGGGCGACGACCCACCUGCUUAGAAGCCCUCGGUUGUGGAUGAUUUCCCCACAAGCCUCGGAGGAUGAAUUUUCCCUAAGCCAGGUGGAGGGCGACGACCCACCUGCUUAGAAGACCUCGGCUGUGGAUGAUUUCCCCACAAGCCGCUUAGAAGCCCUCAGCUGUGGAUGAUUCCCCCACAAGCCUCGGAGGAUGAUAUUUUCCCUAAGCCAGGUGGAGGGCGACGACCCACCUGCUUAGAAGACCUCGGCUGUGGAUGAUUUCCCCACAAGCCGCUUAGAAGCCCUCAGCUGUGGAUGAUUCCCCCACAAGCCUCGGAGGAUGAUAUUUUCCCUAAGCCAGGUGGAGGGCGACGACCCACCUGCUUAGAAGACCUCGGCUGUGGAUGAUUUCCCCACAAGCCGCUUAGAAGCCCUCAGCUGUGGAUGAUUCCCCCACAAGCCUCGGAGGAUGAUAUUUUCCCUAAGCCAGGUGGAGGGCGACGACCCACCUGCUUAGAAGACCUCGGCUGUGGAUGAUUUCCCCACAAGCCGCUUAGAAGCCCUCAGCUGUGGAUGAUUCCCCCACAAGCCUCGGAGGAUGAUAUUUUCCCUAAGCCAGGUGGAGGGCGACGACCCACCUGCUUAGAAGACCUCGGCUGUGGAUGAUUNAGAGGAUGAUAUUUUCCUAAGUCAGGUGGAGGGCGACGACCCACCUGCUUAGAAGCCCUCGGUUGUGGAUGAUUUCCCCACAAGCCUCGGAGGAUGAAUUUUCCCUAAGCCAGGUGGAGGGCGACGACCCACCUGCUUAGAAGACCUCGGCUGUGGAUGAUUUCCCCACAAGCCGCUUAGAAGCCCUCAGCUGUGGAUGAUUCCCCCACAAGCCUCGGAGGAUGAUAUUUUCCCUAAGCCAGGUGGAGGGCGACGACCCACCUGCUUAGAAGACCUCGGCUGUGGAUGAUUUCCCCACAAGCCGCUUAGAAGCCCUCAGCUGUGGAUGAUUUCCCCACAAGCCUCGGAGGAUGAUAUUUUCCCUAAGUCAGGUGGAGGGCGACGACCCACCUGCUUAGAAGCCCUCGGCUGUGGAUGAUUUCCCCACAAGUCUCGGAGGAUGAAUUUUUCCUAAGUCAGGUGGAGGGCGACGACCCACCUGCUUAGAAGCCCUCGACUGUGGAUGAUUUCCCCACAAGUCUCGGAGGAUGAAUUUUCCCUAAGUCAGGUGGAGGGCGACGACCCACCUGCUUAGAAGCCCUCGGCUGUGGAUGAUUUCCUCACAAGCCUCGGAGGAUAUAAGUCGGGUGGAGGGCGACGACCCACCUGCUUAGAAGCCCUCGGCUGUGGAUGAUUUCCCCACAAGCCUCGGAGGAUGAAUUUUCCCUAAGCCAGGUGGAGGGCGACGACCCACCUGCUUAGAAGCCCUCGGCUGGGGAUGAUUUCCCCACAAGCCUCGGAGGAGGAUUUUCCUAAGUCAGGUGGAGGGCGACGACCCACCUGCUUAGAAGCCCUCGGCUGUGGAAGAUUUUCCCACAAACCUAGGAGGAUGAAAGCUACCUAAGUCAGGUGGAGGGCGACGACCCACCUGCUUAGAAGCCCUCGACUGUGGAUAAUUUUCGCACAGCCUCCGAGGAUGAUUUUAUUGAUAAGGCUUUAAUUUCAUCAUCGAACUAAAGAGCGAUGCUAUAACCUCGGGUGACGUUAAAGUCUGUUCGCGAUUCUUUUUAAGCCGAUGCUGCUUAUGGGGUCAGAUGCAUUGUGUGAAUUAAUGCGUAUUAAGGCGAUGCAAUGGAUUUUGACAAGAACCGAAACAUAAAGAAGACAUAUCAAACAUUUGAUAAUUCUACAUUUUCAUUGAUAAUUAUCCCUGGGGGGGUACAUAAGGUUUACAAGUAAUUACUUAGAUUGAAUUAAUUGUCAUUGUCAGUCUAGUCACGAAGAAUCGCAUUCUUCCUCUUGAGAUCCUGGACAUUUUCAUUCAGCUCUUCGAUCUACAACUCGAGGCGAAAUAUUUUGCUCUCCAAAGCUCGGAUUCUAUCCUGAUAAUCCUCGACCAUGACUUGCAGGGUUGUAGUGAUGAGACGAGGAGCCUCGCCUUCAGUUAGUCGCACCUUUUUGAACUAGAUCCCGGAUUCUUUGAAGACAUAUUUUGAAGUGGAUGAAUUUCCCUAAGUCAGGUGGAGGGCGAUGACCCACCUACUUAGAAGUCCUCGGCUAUGGAUGAUUUCCCCACCAGUUUCGGAGGAAGAUUUCCCUUAAUAGGUGAUUGGGCGACGCUCACCUACUUGUAUGCCUGGGAGAUGAAUGAUCUGCUCAGAUGACGUUCCCUGAGCAGGUGAUGGGGUGACGCUCACCUACUUAGAUGCCUGGGAGAUAGACGAUGUCCCCAUCUGCCCUGAUAUUUUUGAUAUUUUGCCCAAAGCAGGUGGAGGGUGAUACCUAUCUGCUUGGAGACUUCACUAAUGGAUGAUUUUCCCAUCAGCGUUGAGGCCUCGACGAUGGAAGAUUCACCUGCUUGGAUGUCUCGGAAAUGGAUGACUUUGUCUUCUGCUUUAAGGAUCUGAAGAUUUUUUCCGAGUCGGGUGUGGGAGAUCCUCAUCUGCUCGGACGCCUUGAAGAUGGACGAUGUCUCUAUCUGUUCAGAGAUAGAAGCGAUGGCAAUACGCCUAUAUGAAAUAAUUUUUUAAUGUUUGCUCAAGUGUGAUGAAGAGUGAUGCUCCAAGAUCGGCCUACGCUUCAGUCGUAGCGUACCUUUAGCCUCAGCAUACUCUUCAGCCUCAGAUGCACCUCAAGCCUAUUCAGGUCGUUCUCUCACUCAGCAAAGCCUCGCUCUCAAAUCUGCGUCUCACUUAGCUGAGCCUCUUUCUCGGAUCAGCGUCUCACUUAGCUGAGCCUCUUUCUCGGAUCAAUGUCUCACUUAUCUGAGCCUCGUUUCCAGGUCGUCAUCUCAAUCAACUGAGCUUCGCCUUCAAGUCGUCCGCUCACUCAGCAUAGAUGUACUGGAGACAAUUCGUACCUACAUGGAUGUGUUGAGGUGAUUUUUCUCAGGAUCAAAAUCCUCACACUCAACUGAAUGUCUUCUUUAGGUUGGCCUCUCACUCAGCUGAGCAUCUUCUUCCUCGAGUCAGCAUAUCACUCAACAGGAACCUCUCCUAAAACAUUUCUUGGUCAGCCAACUGAGUACUGUAAAGGUCUAAAGUGCUUUUAUGUGUGAGCAUGUGCUGACAUCGUUGAAUAUCAGCAUCACUUGUUGACUAUGAAUGAAGUGAGAAGUUUUAAAUGGAUCAUCAUUUAAACUUCAGGAAGGCAGAGAAAAAUCUAGCAACACUUCAUGGAGAUGGAUGAAAGCGAUCUUAUAAAUAUCAGCUAGAGCUUUCUGAGGCGAGAACUCGAUAACUUCGUCGCCUUUUGGAAAGAAAGCCCUUUCGCAUCUAUGCUUCAAGGCCUUGGGGGGUAGUUGUUAUGCCAAAAAGUCGACUCCGCAAUCAGCUGUAGUUAUCUUGUCUCUAGACUGGAUAUUUAAGGAAAGAUAUGGUCAACCUAGUUUGAGGGCAUCAGCCUCGUCUAAAGGCGUUAGCCUAGCCUGAUAUAAUCAGCCUUUCCUGAGGACCAGCCUCGCCUGAUAUGAUCAGAUUCUCCCGAUGGUCAAUCUCACCUGAGGAUCAGCCUCGCGUGAAGAUCAGUCUAGCAUGAUAUGAUCAGCCUCUUCUGAGGAUCAGUCUCGCCUGAGGAUCAGCCUCGCCUGAAGAUCAGUCUAGCCUGAUAUGAUCAGUCUCUCCUGAUGAUCAGUCUCGCCUGAUGAUCAGUCUCGCCUGAAGGUCAGCCUAAUCUGAUAUGGUCAGCCUCGCCUGAUGAGGUCAGCCUUGUCUGAAGACAUCAACCUCGUCCGAAGACGUCAGCCUCGUCCUAAGACAUCAGCCUCGCCAGAUACACCUGUCUCGCCCAAUGCCUGGGCGACCACUAUUAUUUAUAUACUCAGCCUCGCCCUUAGAGAGGACAGAGGGCUAGCCCAUACAGCUAACUCAAAGGAGGUGCACAUGGGCUGGAUCGGGUGUCAAAACCGAGAUGUCGGGUCAGCCCAUCUAGUCUCAUGCUCCUUAGAGAAGGCUGGGCCUCAGCGGCCCAUAUAUGUCUGAUCUAAGGCUGUGGCCCAUCAGCUGGAAUUCCGGGAUGGGAAACCAACUCGGAUUGGGUUCCUAAGCCCAUUCUGAUUAGGUUAUUUGUUCCCCAAGAACUACGUCUGGCUUGAUCCCUAUAAAUAGGGUACGUAGGCACAUUAUUUGGGAUAAGCCGCAACCCUUGCAAGAACGAAUACUUCUUCUUCUUGUGAGAGACCUCUGAUUCUCAAACGAUCUCAGCCAAAAUCAUAAACCACCUACCCACUCCGUCGUUCACCGUCAUCAACCACCACUAUUUUCCAGCAGGCCUCCCCGAAUCUUGUUAUCACCAGAUUCCUCCGUUAACACACUCAUAAAAAUCAACAACUUGUGAUCCCUUGCCCAUUUCAUUAUUUAUAUAUAAAAAAUUCACAGUUUGACACGCAAUCUAAGAUUUACGAGUAAAAUUUAAUUUCAUAACUUAUAUUUACGAGUAUCAUUUUGUAUAUAAAAAUUUAAACAUUAAAUUUUCAUUCAAUUUUUUUCAAAGUACAUUUUUUUGGAGUCUUAAAAUACGCGUUAAGAACUCGUUCUUCGAGAUAAAUAAUUUAGGAGGACAUAUGGAAUAAUAAAAUAUCAAUAAAUUUAUACAAACUCCUGAAAAAAGUUAAUUUUUAUAAAUAUUUUUUCUUCCGAUAUUGACUGCACUAAACACUCAGGCACUCUCAAUAAAGUUGUACUCUCUCCGUCCUCUUAGUUGUCCAAUUUACAAAAAAUAUUGUCCCCAAAUAACUGUCCUUUUGAUUUUUGUAAACCAUGUCUAGAUUCCAAGUUUCAUUAUUUAACUUUACAACUAAUAGUUUUUUAAGCCCAAUUCUAAUUGUCAUUACCGGUUUUUGUUAAAAGCGAGGAACACAUAUAAAAAGUUGAAAAUGUUAUUCUCCCUAUCUCAUUCAUUUCUAUACAUAUUUCGUCAUUAUUUGGCACGCAUUUUAAGACCCUUACAGAAGAUUUAUGCAUGUUUUAUAAUUUAUUUAUCAAAAUUUCUUUUUUUUUUGAAUAAAAAUUCAAACAUUUUUUUUAAAUAAGUCUUGAAAGCAUUUUUUACGGUCGUCUUAAAAUGAGUCUCGAGUCUCCAUCUCCUCGUGUAUACUAUUGAACGGGACAGAUGGAGUAGCUUUUCAUUCAAAAAUUUUACAUGUUCCCAAACAUUUGACGUCGUUUGGGUGAGUUUAAAAUAAGUGCUUCUUACGUAGAAACGUAAAAAUAGAAGUCAUGAAACAAAAGUAAGUAUUUUCAGUUUCUUAUAAAUAUUUCUUUAUUUUUUACAUAAACGAUACAAAUAAGUGCUUUCAACAUUAUAAAUUUAGAAGCCGAACUUUUAAGCCGAGACAAGCAUCAUCUUUAACAAUUUAUUAGUCCUUACUAAUUUUUAAUCCACUUUUUUAUUUUAGAUAAGAAGUCAAUUUUAUCCAAGCGGUCACAUAAUCAAGUUCUCAACAACAAUAAUUACCACAAACUAUUUCAGAUAUAGGACCCUUUCGACAUGAUUAGAAACAAAAUGGUGAAACGGAAGAAAACGAAAACCAAUUAAUUAGAUUAAGCAGCAGGAUGAUGAGAAUAGAUGCGAUUCAAGGAAAUAUAUAUCCAACUACAAUUCUUUUAGAAAACAAUACUCCACUAAAUUUAGUAGAAAAUGCAACAUGUAUUAGAAAUCACAGAAGUAACGUAUAAUAAACAUAAAACAAAAAAUUCCAAUUUAAUUCACUAAAUAAUUUUGAUAUGUGUUUACAGAUUGCCUUUAUCAAAUUAUCUAGUAACCUGUACUUAAUGUCUUAAUCCCCCUAUCUUACUUAUAACUAAAACAAAGUACAAGUUAAAAUAAGUGUCAUUAUCUCAAUCAUACAUGUCAUUUUCUUAAUUUUUGAUGUUCACAUGUCACGUUCUCCUUUAAUAUACUUAUAACUAAAACAAAGUACAAGUUAAGACAAGUGUCAUUAUCUCAAUCAACUUAGACACAUGUCAUUUUCUUAAUUUUUGAUAUCCACAUGUCACGUUCUCUUUUAAUAAGCUCAUUCUCUCUUUUUCCACUAAUUCUUAAACUUACUCUCUCUCUCUUUCCACUAAUUCUCACUCCACCUCAUUUCAUCUCCUUCUACUAAUUUUCUCUCUCUCUCAUUUUAUUUUCAUUUUACUGUCUCUCAUCAUCAAUUUAUCUUUUUAUUUAUAUCUACAAUAUUUUACUAUACAAUUAUUAAAGUGUCUUAUAUAUAUUUAAGAAAUUUAAUUUAUAUUGAUUCUAAUUUUAUGUAAUUUUAUCCUUUCUAUGUUAUAGUUAUAAUUGUGAAUGGACUCCAAAAUAAUAUUUAUGGACGGAAGUUGGGCCACCUAAUUGGGUCAGAAAUCGUGGCCUUUAUCUCAACUCUUCUCCACCUAUCUGCAUAAAAUUACAUAAAAUUAAAUAAAAUUAGAAUCAAUAAAAUUACAUAUAAAUAAAAAGAUAAAUUGAUGAUGAGAAUAAAAUCACUUAAUUAUAGAUAUAUGAUACUUUAAUAAUUGUAUAGUAAAAGAAUUAAAUACAUAUAAAAUUACAUAAAAUUACAUAAAUUAGAAUCAAUAUAAAUUAAAUAAAAAUACAUAAAAUUAUAAAUUAGAAUUAUAUAAUUGUAUAGAUAUAUGUUAUAGAAAGAAUAAAAUUACAUAAAAUUAGAAUCAAUAUAAAUUAAAUCUCUUAAUUAUAGAUAUAUGAUACUUUAAUAAUUGUAUAGUAAAAGAUUGUACGUAUAAAUAACAAUAUAACAAUUCCAAAAUCAACUCAUGCAUGAGUUAAGAAAUAAUUAAUAUAUGCUCCAUAUGUCCCAUUUAAUUCUAUACACUUUCCAUUUUGGGAUAUCCCUUCAUUUUUAUACGUUUCCAAUAAUAGUAACUUUUAAUAAUAUAAAAUACUGGGGCCGUUUGGCUACACUUAUUUUUCAGGAAUAAGGGCUUAUUUCUGGAAAAAAGUAUGUCAAACUCUACUUUUUUCUGAAAUAAGCUCUUAUUUUUUCCCACAUAACGAAUAUUAAACACUUUCUUAACGUUUAUAUCCAACAAAACUAUAAAAAUAAAUACUUUUAGAAAAAAAUAAGCCAAGAAUAAGCCCUGUAAUUAUUUAGCCAAACAGGGGCACUAUUACAUCCACUACUUUCUUCCACUGUCUCCAUUCGAUAAUAAUAUAAAUACUAUUACACCCACUAUCUCAAAUCUGUAAUUAAAUACGAAAUGGUCCCACUAUUUACUCACUUUUCACCUUUCUAUAUUUUCUUAGUAUCCGUGUCCAUACCAAAUGUAUGUUAUUCAGAGGGACGGAAGGAGUAAUAUAUACAUACAUAAAUACACACACAUGUAUGUGUGUGUGUAUAUAUGGAGACGCCUCUUAUAUGGAGAACCGUGGAGACACCUCUCCGCUAAUCUGGACCAUUAAAUCUCAACUAAAUCCUAUGGCUGGUAACAAAUCAUAUUUAAAAUUGAAAAAAAAAUUAGUAAGCGCCUGUUACUUUGACGGUUUAUGCGCGGCAUCUGUGAAGCCCGCCAUCUCUCUCUCUCUCGCUACAUCACUCUUCCUGAAUUUCUCUCUUUAACGUGUCUCCCAGCUUGUUGCUCGACUUCUCUCACUAGAUACAAGCACCAGGAGAUGACAUCUUCUUCGAAUCAUGUUCUUAUUUCCUUGAAUCAACCGGAGUAUUGUUCAAAUUAACCUAGAGAUUGUGAUUUCAUUUACAUUUAAUCCUUGUCAGGUUCGAAUUGAAAAUUCUAUUUUUCAAUUUAUAAGCGUCAAUUAUAUGAAAGUAAGUGUUGUAUUGUUUUGACUCUUUUAAUUUGUGUUGGUCCUGUUGUGGAAUCAACUUAGUUUGUUUGAUAUCUAUUUUAUGGUUGUUAUGUUGCUUUGGUUCUAUUGUUGAAUCGUUUUUGUAGAUAAUACAGUUUAUUCCUAUUUGUUGAUUUUGGUUCUGUUGUUGAAUCAAGACAGUUGGUUCUAUAGUUGAAUUCAAUUUGUUAUGCGUUGAAAUUUAAGUUUUGUUAUUCAUCCCGUAUGUUUUAGUUUCAAUUUGUAUUAAUUUUUGCUAGUCUCGUUAAAGAAUCAAAUCAAUUUGAUAUAAUUUUUAGUUGUACUGUUGUUGUGGUUCCUUUGUGGAAUUUUUCCUGUAAAUAAUGUAGUUUCAAACUAUUACUUGAAUUUUGGUUAUGUUGUAGAAUCAAAAUUGUGAAUUUAUUAAAAAUUUUAACUAUUUUUUGAAUUUGGUUCUAUUGUAGAUUCAGGACCAUGAAUUUAUUAAAAUUUUAACUAUUUCUUGAAUUUUGGUUCUAUUAUAGAAUCAAAGCUGUGAAUUAUUAAAAUUUUAACUAUUUCUUGAAUUUUGGUUCUAUUGUAGAAUCAAGGUUAUGAAUUUAUUAAAUGUUUAGCUAUUUCUUGUAUUUUUGGUUCUUUCUCGUAUUCUUGUCUCAUGCUUAGAUUACACUCUGUAGACUAAAUAAUUUAUGUGUUUUAAAUUAGGAUCUUUCUGUUAUUUAAUUUUCUUUGCUAGACAGGAGGAUGUUUUAAUGAUAUGAUUUUACAGAAACCUGUCUCAAACCUAUCAUAAACUGUUUCCAAGACAUCGGUUGAUUGGAUCAAUCAGAAAUCCACCAAGCCUCUAGGUUUCUUUGUAUUGUGGUCUCUAUAUAGCAUUUUUGCAGGCUUAGCCAGCCAACAACCUAGUGGCAAUGGUGCUACUAGGAAUCCUUGUUUGCAGACAAACUUGUUGUUUCUACAUCUUGCUCACUUCUCCACACUGCUGUGGACCUUGUUAAUGAAACAAAGUUGGACUCAGAGAUCAUAUCAUGGCUUGCAUUUGCUGCCGAAAAGGUUUUUGAAGUUGAUGCAUUGACCAAAGCAAUGUCUGGUAAAAAGGUUGAGGUAUAUGCUUCCGCUGAUAACCUGUCAUUUGAUUUUACUCUUAGAGUUGAUGGGUGCAAUUAUAUUUUUUUUCCACAUUCAUACAAGUUGUUCAUAAUGCAAAUAUAUGGUUCAGCUUUGUCCAUUAAUUAAAUGUAUUAUGUAUUAUAUAUUUGUUAUUCUAAUCUUACUGAUAUAUUAUAAGGCAUUCUUCUCAGCCAAUGCUUCAGCUCAAGUGUCAAGGAAGUCCUCCCCAAGGGUGACUAAUGAAGCUGUUCAGAAGGUUGUAAGUGAUUUGUCCUGCUUUCUUUAUUACAGGCGGCUACUUUACGGGCAAUUAAUCUUUACUUACCUGUGAAUUGCUGUUCCUCAGGCUUCCGCUCUAAAGGGUUCUGAUCACCGGCGUGCUACCAACGUUGGUGCAAGACUUGAUGCACAACAAAAGAAGCUUAAUCUCCCAAUUCUCCCAACUACUACCAUUGGAUCUUUCCCUCAAACUGUUGAACUCAGAAGGGUGCGCCGUGAAUACAAGGCAAAGAAGUGAGUGGUUUCUGUCAUCUGUUCUGUUGUAUGUGCAUUAGUUUUAGUAUCAUAAAAUUUCUGACAACUUUUUGUCUUCAUAUAUUUAGGAUUUCAGAGGAAGAAUAUGUUAAUGCCAUCACAGAGGAAAUUAGCAAGGUUGUCAAAAUACAAGAGGAUCUUGAUAUUGAUGUCUUGGUCCAUGGAGAACCAUAGGUAAAAAAGAAUUAUCCAGUCNNNNNNNNNNNNNNNNNNNNNNNNNNNNNNNNNNNNNNNNNNNNNNNNNNNNNNNNNNNNNNNNNNNNNNNNNNNNNNNNNNNNNNNNNNNNNNNNNNNNNNNNNNNNNNNNNNNNNNNNNNNNNNNNNNNNNNNNNNNNNNNNNNNNNNNNNNNNNNNNNNNNNNNNNNNNNNNNNNNNNNNNNNNNNNNNNNNNNNNNNNNNNNNNNNNNNNNNNNNNNNNNNNNNNNNNNNNNNNNNNNNNNNNNNNNNNNNNNNNNNNNNNNNNNNNNNNNNNNNNNNNNNNNNNNNNNNNNNNNNNNNNNNNNNNNNNNNNNNNNNNNNNNNNNNNNNNNNNNNNNNNNNNNNNNNNNNNNNNNNNNNNNNNNNNNNNNNNNNNNNNNNNNNNNNNNNNNNNNNNNNNNNNNNNNNNNNNNNNNNNNNNNNNNNNNNNNNNNNNNNNNNNNNNNNNNNNNNNNNNNNNNNNNNNNNNNNNNNNNNNNNNNNNNNNNNNNNNNNNNNNNNNNNNNNNNNNNNNNNNNNNNNNNNNNNNNNNNNNNNNNNNNNNNNNNNNNNNNNNNNNNNNNNNNNNNNNNNNNNNNNNNNNNNNNNNNNNNNNNNNNNNNNNNNNNNNNNNNNNNNNNNNNNNNNNNNNNNNNNNNNNNNNNNNNNNNNNNNNNNNNNNNNNNNNNNNNNNNNNNNNNNNNNNNNNNNNNNNNNNNNNNNNNNNNNNNNNNNNNNNNNNNNNNNNNNNNNNNNNNNNNNNNNNNNNNNNNNNNNNNNNNNNNNNNNNNNNNNNNNNNNNNNNNNNNNNNNNNNNNNNNNNNNNNNNNNNNNNNNNNNNNNNNNNNNNNNNNNNNNNNNNNNNNNNNNNNNNNNNNNNNNNNNNNNNNNNNNNNNNNNNNNNNNNNNNNNNNNNNNNNNNNNNNNNNNNNNNNNNNNNNNNNNNNNNNNNNNNNNNNNNNNNNNNNNNNNNNNNNNNNNNNNNNNNNNNNNNNNNNNNNNNNNNNNNNNNNNNNNNNNNNNNNNNNNNNNNNNNNNNNNNNNNNNNNNNNNNNNNNNNNNNNNNNNNNNNNNNNNNNNNNNNNNNNNNNNNNNNNNNNNNNNNNNNNNNNNNNNNNNNNNNNNNNNNNNNNNNNNNNNNNNNNNNNNNNNNNNNNNNNNNNNNNNNNNNNNNNNNNNNNNNNNNNNNNNNNNNNNNNNNNNNCGACCUACCUGCUUGAAACCCUCAGCUGUGGAUGAUUUCCCCACAAGCCUCGGAGGAUGAAUUUUCCCUAAGUCAGGUGGAGGGCGACGACCCACCUGCUUAGAAGCCCUCGGCUGUGGAUGAUUUUCCCACAAUCCUCGGAGGAUGAUUGUUUUCCUAAGUCAGGUGGAGGGCGACGACCCACCUGCUUAGAAGCCCUCGGUUGUGGAUGAUUUCCCCACAAGCCUCGGAGGAUGAAUUUUCCCUAAGCCAGGUGGAGGGCGACGACCCACCUGCUUAGAAGACCUCGGCUGUGGAUGAUUUCCCCACAAGCCGCUUAGAAGCCCUCAGCUGUGGAUGAUUCCCCCACAAGCCUCGGAGGAUGAUAUUUUCCCUAAGCCAGGUGGAGGGCGACGACCCACCUGCUUAGAAGACCUCGGCUGUGGAUGAUUUCCCCACAAGCCGCUUAGAAGCCCUCAGCUGUGGAUGAUUUCCCCACAAGCCUCGGAGGAUGAUAUUUUCCCUAAGUCAGGUGGAGGGCGACGACCCACCUGCUUAGAAGCCCUCGGCUGUGGAUGAUUUCCCCACAAGUCUCGGAGGAUGAAUUUUUCCUAAGUCAGGUGGAGGGCGACGACCCACCUGCUUAGAAGCCCUCGACUGUGGAUGAUUUCCCCACAAGUCUCGGAGGAUGAAUUUUCCCUAAGUCAGGUGGAGGGCGACGACCCACCUGCUUAGAAGCCCUCGGCUGUGGAUGAUUUCCUCACAAGCCUCGGAGGAUAUAAGUCGGGUGGAGGGCGACGACCCACCUGCUUAGAAGCCCUCGGCUGUGGAUGAUUUCCCCACAAGCCUCAGAGGAUGAUAUUUUCCUAAGUCAGGUGGAGGGCGACGACCCACCUGCUUAGAAGCCCUCGGCUGGGGAUGAUUUCCCCACAAGCCUCGGAGGAGGAUUUUCCUAAGUCAGGUGGAGGGCGACGACCCACCUGCUUAGAAGCUCUCGGUUGUGGAUGAUUUUCCCACAAGCCUCGGAGGAUGAUUUCCCUAAGUCAGGUGGAGGGCGACGACCCACCUGCUUAGAAGCUCUCGGUUGUGGAUGAUUUUCCCACAAGCCUCGGAGGAUGAUUUCCCUAAGUCAGGUGGAGGGCGACGACCCACCUGCUUAGAAGCCCUCAGCUGUGGAUGAUUUCCCCACAAGCCUCGGAGGAGGAUUUUCCUAAGUCAGGUGGAGGGCGACGACCCACCUGCUUAGAAGCCCUCGGCUGUGGAUGAUUUUCCCACAAGCCUCGGAGGAGGAUUUUCCUAAGUCAGGUGGAGGGCGACGACCCACCUGCUUAGAAGCCCUCGGCUGUGGAAGAUUUUCCCACAAACCUAGGAGGAUGAAAGCUACCUAAGUCAGGUGGAGGGCGACGACCCACCUGCUUAGAAGCCCUCGACUGUGGAUAAUUUUCGCACAGCCUCCGAGGAUGAUUUUAUUGAUAAGGCUUUAAUUUCAUCAUCGAACUAAAGAGCGAUGCUAUAACCUCGGGUGACGUUAAAGUCUGUUCGCGAUUCUUUUUAAGCCGAUGCUGCUUAUGGGGUCAGAUGCAUUGUGUGAAUUAAUGCGUAUUAAGGCGAUGCAAUGGAUUUUGACAAGAACCGAAACAUAAAGAAGACAUAUCAAACAUUUGAUAAUUCUACAUUUUCAUUGAUAAUUAUCCCUGGGGGGGUACAUAAGGUUUACAAGUAAUUACUUAGAUUGAAUUAAUUGUCAUUGUCAGUCUAGUCACGAAGAAUCGCAUUCUUCCUCUUGAGAUCCUGGACAUUUUCAUUCAGCUCUUCGAUCUACAACUCGAGGCGAAAUAUUUUGCUCUCCAAAGCUCGGAUUCUAUCCUGAUAAUCCUCGACCAUGACUUGCAGGGUUGUAGUGAUGAGACGAGGAGCCUCGCCUUCAGUUAGUCGCACCUUUUUGAACUAGAUCCCGGAUUCUUUGAAGACAUAUUUUGAAGUGGAUGAAUUUCCCUAAGUCAGGUGGAGGGCGAUGACCCACCUACUUAGAAGUCCUCGGCUAUGGAUGAUUUCCCCACCAGUUUCGGAGGAAGAUUUCCCUUAAUAGGUGAUUGGGCGACGCUCACCUACUUGUAUGCCUGGGAGAUGAAUGAUCUGCUCAGAUGACGUUCCCUGAGCAGGUGAUGGGGUGACGCUCACCUACUUAGAUGCCUGGGAGAUAGACGAUGUCCCCAUCUGCCCUGAUAUUUUUGAUAUUUUGCCCAAAGCAGGUGGAGGGUGAUACCUAUCUGCUUGGAGACUUCACUAAUGGAUGAUUUUCCCAUCAGCGUUGAGGCCUCGACGAUGGAAGAUUCACCUGCUUGGAUGUCUCGGAAAUGGAUGACUUUGUCUUCUGCUUUAAGGAUCUGAAGAUUUUUUCCGAGUCGGGUGUGGGAGAUCCUCAUCUGCUCGGACGCCUUGAAGAUGGACGAUGUCUCUAUCUGUUCAGAGAUAGAAGCGAUGGCAAUACGCCUAUAUGAAAUAAUUUUUUAAUGUUUGCUCAAGUGUGAUGAAGAGUGAUGCUCCAAGAUCGGCCUACGCUUCAGUCGUAGCGUACCUUUAGCCUCAGCAUACUCUUCAGCCUCAGAUGCACCUCAAGCCUAUUCAGGUCGUUCUCUCACUCAGCAAAGCCUCGCUCUCAAAUCUGCGUCUCACUUAGCUGAGCCUCUUUCUCGGAUCAGCGUCUCACUUAGCUGAGCCUCUUUCUCGGAUCAAUGUCUCACUUAUCUGAGCCUCGUUUCCAGGUCGUCAUCUCAAUCAACUGAGCUUCGCCUUCAAGUCGUCCGCUCACUCAGCAUAGAUGUACUGGAGACAAUUCGUACCUACAUGGAUGUGUUGAGGUGAUUUUUCUCAGGAUCAAAAUCCUCACACUCAACUGAAUGUCUUCUUUAGGUUGGCCUCUCACUCAGCUGAGCAUCUUCUUCCUCGAGUCAGCAUAUCACUCAACAGGAACCUCUCCUAAAACAUUUCUUGGUCAGCCAACUGAGUACUGUAAAGGUCUAAAGUGCUUUUAUGUGUGAGCAUGUGCUGACAUCGUUGAAUAUCAGCAUCACUUGUUGACUAUGAAUGAAGUGAGAAGUUUUAAAUGGAUCAUCAUUUAAACUUCAGGAAGGCAGAGAAAAAUCUAGCAACACUUCAUGGAGAUGGAUGAAAGCGAUCUUAUAAAUAUCAGCUAGAGCUUUCUGAGGCGAGAACUCGAUAACUUCGUCGCCUUUUGGAAAGAAAGCCCUUUCGCAUCUAUGCUUCAAGGCCUUGGGGGGUAGUUGUUAUGCCAAAAAGUCGACUCCGCAAUCAGCUGUAGUUAUCUUGUCUCUAGACUGGAUAUUUAAGGAAAGAUAUGGUCAACCUAGUUUGAGGGCAUCAGCCUCGUCUAAAGGCGUUAGCCUAGCCUGAUAUAAUCAGCCUUUCCUGAGGACCAGCCUCGCCUGAUAUGAUCAGAUUCUCCCGAUGGUCAAUCUCACCUGAGGAUCAGCCUCGCGUGAAGAUCAGUCUAGCAUGAUAUGAUCAGCCUCUUCUGAGGAUCAGUCUCGCCUGAGGAUCAGCCUCGCCUGAAGAUCAGUCUAGCCUGAUAUGAUCAGUCUCUCCUGAUGAUCAGUCUCGCCUGAUGAUCAGUCUCGCCUGAAGGUCAGCCUAAUCUGAUAUGGUCAGCCUCGCCUGAUGAGGUCAGCCUUGUCUGAAGACAUCAACCUCGUCCGAAGACGUCAGCCUCGUCCUAAGACAUCAGCCUCGCCAGAUACACCUGUCUCGCCCAAUGCCUGGGCGACCACUAUUAUUUAUAUACUCAGCCUCGCCCUUAGAGAGGACAGAGGGCUAGCCCAUACAGCUAACUCAAAGGAGGUGCACAUGGGCUGGAUCGGGUGUCAAAACCGAGAUGUCGGGUCAGCCCAUCUAGUCUCAUGCUCCUUAGAGAAGGCUGGGCCUCAGCGGCCCAUAUAUGUCUGAUCUAAGGCUGUGGCCCAUCAGCUGGAAUUCCGGGAUGGGAAACCAACUCGGAUUGGGUUCCUAAGCCCAUUCUGAUUAGGUUAUUUGUUCCCCAAGAACUACGUCUGGCUUGAUCCCUAUAAAUAGGGUACGUAGGCACAUUAUUUGGGAUAAGCCGCAACCCUUGCAAGAACGAAUACUUCUUCUUCUUGUGAGAGACCUCUGAUUCUCAAACGAUCUCAGCCAAAAUCAUAAACCACCUACCCACUCCGUCGUUCACCGUCAUCAACCACCACUAUUUUCCAGCAGGCCUCCCCGAAUCUUGUUAUCACCAGAUUCCUCCGUUAACACACUCAUAAAAAUCAACAACUUGUGAUCCCUUGCCCAUUUCAUUAUUUAUAUAUAAAAAAUUCACAGUUUGACACGCAAUCUAAGAUUUACGAGUAAAAUUUAAUUUCAUAACUUAUAUUUACGAGUAUCAUUUUGUAUAUAAAAAUUUAAACAUUAAAUUUUCAUUCAAUUUUUUUCAAAGUACAUUUUUUUGGAGUCUUAAAAUACGCGUUAAGAACUCGUUCUUCGAGAUAAAUAAUUUAGGAGGACAUAUGGAAUAAUAAAAUAUCAAUAAAUUUAUACAAACUCCUGAAAAAAGUUAAUUUUUAUAAAUAUUUUUUCUUCCGAUAUUGACUGCACUAAACACUCAGGCACUCUCAAUAAAGUUGUACUCUCUCCGUCCUCUUAGUUGUCCAAUUUACAAAAAAUAUUGUCCCCAAAUAACUGUCCUUUUGAUUUUUGUAAACCAUGUCUAGAUUCCAAGUUUCAUUAUUUAACUUUACAACUAAUAGUUUUUUAAGCCCAAUUCUAAUUGUCAUUACCGGUUUUUGUUAAAAGCGAGGAACACAUAUAAAAAGUUGAAAAUGUUAUUCUCCCUAUCUCAUUCAUUUCUAUACAUAUUUCGUCAUUAUUUGGCACGCAUUUUAAGACCCUUACAGAAGAUUUAUGCAUGUUUUAUAAUUUAUUUAUCAAAAUUUCUUUUUUUUUUGAAUAAAAAUUCAAACAUUUUUUUUAAAUAAGUCUUGAAAGCAUUUUUUACGGUCGUCUUAAAAUGAGUCUCGAGUCUCCAUCUCCUCGUGUAUACUAUUGAACGGGACAGAUGGAGUAGCUUUUCAUUCAAAAAUUUUACAUGUUCCCAAACAUUUGACGUCGUUUGGGUGAGUUUAAAAUAAGUGCUUCUUACGUAGAAACGUAAAAAUAGAAGUCAUGAAACAAAAGUAAGUAUUUUCAGUUUCUUAUAAAUAUUUCUUUAUUUUUUACAUAAACGAUACAAAUAAGUGCUUUCAACAUUAUAAAUUUAGAAGCCGAACUUUUAAGCCGAGACAAGCAUCAUCUUUAACAAUUUAUUAGUCCUUACUAAUUUUUAAUCCACUUUUUUAUUUUAGAUAAGAAGUCAAUUUUAUCCAAGCGGUCACAUAAUCAAGUUCUCAACAACAAUAAUUACCACAAACUAUUUCAGAUAUAGGACCCUUUCGACAUGAUUAGAAACAAAAUGGUGAAACGGAAGAAAACGAAAACCAAUUAAUUAGAUUAAGCAGCAGGAUGAUGAGAAUAGAUGCGAUUCAAGGAAAUAUAUAUCCAACUACAAUUCUUUUAGAAAACAAUACUCCACUAAAUUUAGUAGAAAAUGCAACAUGUAUUAGAAAUCACAGAAGUAACGUAUAAUAAACAUAAAACAAAAAAUUCCAAUUUAAUUCACUAAAUAAUUUUGAUAUGUGUUUACAGAUUGCCUUUAUCAAAUUAUCUAGUAACCUGUACUUAAUGUCUUAAUCCCCCUAUCUUACUUAUAACUAAAACAAAGUACAAGUUAAAAUAAGUGUCAUUAUCUCAAUCAUACAUGUCAUUUUCUUAAUUUUUGAUGUUCACAUGUCACGUUCUCCUUUAAUAUACUUAUAACUAAAACAAAGUACAAGUUAAGACAAGUGUCAUUAUCUCAAUCAACUUAGACACAUGUCAUUUUCUUAAUUUUUGAUAUCCACAUGUCACGUUCUCUUUUAAUAAGCUCAUUCUCUCUUUUUCCACUAAUUCUUAAACUUACUCUCUCUCUCUUUCCACUAAUUCUCACUCCACCUCAUUUCAUCUCCUUCUACUAAUUUUCUCUCUCUCUCAUUUUAUUUUCAUUUUACUGUCUCUCAUCAUCAAUUUAUCUUUUUAUUUAUAUCUACAAUAUUUUACUAUACAAUUAUUAAAGUGUCUUAUAUAUAUUUAAGAAAUUUAAUUUAUAUUGAUUCUAAUUUUAUGUAAUUUUAUCCUUUCUAUGUUAUAGUUAUAAUUGUGAAUGGACUCCAAAAUAAUAUUUAUGGACGGAAGUUGGGCCACCUAAUUGGGUCAGAAAUCGUGGCCUUUAUCUCAACUCUUCUCCACCUAUCUGCAUAAAAUUACAUAAAAUUAAAUAAAAUUAGAAUCAAUAAAAUUACAUAUAAAUAAAAAGAUAAAUUGAUGAUGAGAAUAAAAUCACUUAAUUAUAGAUAUAUGAUACUUUAAUAAUUGUAUAGUAAAAGAAUUAAAUACAUAUAAAAUUACAUAAAAUUACAUAAAUUAGAAUCAAUAUAAAUUAAAUAAAAAUACAUAAAAUUAUAAAUUAGAAUUAUAUAAUUGUAUAGAUAUAUGUUAUAGAAAGAAUAAAAUUACAUAAAAUUAGAAUCAAUAUAAAUUAAAUCUCUUAAUUAUAGAUAUAUGAUACUUUAAUAAUUGUAUAGUAAAAGAUUGUACGUAUAAAUAACAAUAUAACAAUUCCAAAAUCAACUCAUGCAUGAGUUAAGAAAUAAUUAAUAUAUGCUCCAUAUGUCCCAUUUAAUUCUAUACACUUUCCAUUUUGGGAUAUCCCUUCAUUUUUAUACGUUUCCAAUAAUAGUAACUUUUAAUAAUAUAAAAUACUGGGGCCGUUUGGCUACACUUAUUUUUCAGGAAUAAGGGCUUAUUUCUGGAAAAAAGUAUGUCAAACUCUACUUUUUUCUGAAAUAAGCUCUUAUUUUUUCCCACAUAACGAAUAUUAAACACUUUCUUAACGUUUAUAUCCAACAAAACUAUAAAAAUAAAUACUUUUAGAAAAAAAUAAGCCAAGAAUAAGCCCUGUAAUUAUUUAGCCAAACAGGGGCACUAUUACAUCCACUACUUUCUUCCACUGUCUCCAUUCGAUAAUAAUAUAAAUACUAUUACACCCACUAUCUCAAAUCUGUAAUUAAAUACGAAAUGGUCCCACUAUUUACUCACUUUUCACCUUUCUAUAUUUUCUUAGUAUCCGUGUCCAUACCAAAUGUAUGUUAUUCAGAGGGACGGAAGGAGUAAUAUAUACAUACAUAAAUACACACACAUGUAUGUGUGUGUGUAUAUAUGGAGACGCCUCUUAUAUGGAGAACCGUGGAGACACCUCUCCGCUAAUCUGGACCAUUAAAUCUCAACUAAAUCCUAUGGCUGGUAACAAAUCAUAUUUAAAAUUGAAAAAAAAAUUAGUAAGCGCCUGUUACUUUGACGGUUUAUGCGCGGCAUCUGUGAAGCCCGCCAUCUCUCUCUCUCUCGCUACAUCACUCUUCCUGAAUUUCUCUCUUUAACGUGUCUCCCAGCUUGUUGCUCGACUUCUCUCACUAGAUACAAGCACCAGGAGAUGACAUCUUCUUCGAAUCAUGUUCUUAUUUCCUUGAAUCAACCGGAGUAUUGUUCAAAUUAACCUAGAGAUUGUGAUUUCAUUUACAUUUAAUCCUUGUCAGGUUCGAAUUGAAAAUUCUAUUUUUCAAUUUAUAAGCGUCAAUUAUAUGAAAGUAAGUGUUGUAUUGUUUUGACUCUUUUAAUUUGUGUUGGUCCUGUUGUGGAAUCAACUUAGUUUGUUUGAUAUCUAUUUUAUGGUUGUUAUGUUGCUUUGGUUCUAUUGUUGAAUCGUUUUUGUAGAUAAUACAGUUUAUUCCUAUUUGUUGAUUUUGGUUCUGUUGUUGAAUCAAGACAGUUGGUUCUAUAGUUGAAUUCAAUUUGUUAUGCGUUGAAAUUUAAGUUUUGUUAUUCAUCCCGUAUGUUUUAGUUUCAAUUUGUAUUAAUUUUUGCUAGUCUCGUUAAAGAAUCAAAUCAAUUUGAUAUAAUUUUUAGUUGUACUGUUGUUGUGGUUCCUUUGUGGAAUUUUUCCUGUAAAUAAUGUAGUUUCAAACUAUUACUUGAAUUUUGGUUAUGUUGUAGAAUCAAAAUUGUGAAUUUAUUAAAAAUUUUAACUAUUUUUUGAAUUUGGUUCUAUUGUAGAUUCAGGACCAUGAAUUUAUUAAAAUUUUAACUAUUUCUUGAAUUUUGGUUCUAUUAUAGAAUCAAAGCUGUGAAUUAUUAAAAUUUUAACUAUUUCUUGAAUUUUGGUUCUAUUGUAGAAUCAAGGUUAUGAAUUUAUUAAAUGUUUAGCUAUUUCUUGUAUUUUUGGUUCUUUCUCGUAUUCUUGUCUCAUGCUUAGAUUACACUCUGUAGACUAAAUAAUUUAUGUGUUUUAAAUUAGGAUCUUUCUGUUAUUUAAUUUUCUUUGCUAGACAGGAGGAUGUUUUAAUGAUAUGAUUUUACAGAAACCUGUCUCAAACCUAUCAUAAACUGUUUCCAAGACAUCGGUUGAUUGGAUCAAUCAGAAAUCCACCAAGCCUCUAGGUUUCUUUGUAUUGUGGUCUCUAUAUAGCAUUUUUGCAGGCUUAGCCAGCCAACAACCUAGUGGCAAUGGUGCUACUAGGAAUCCUUGUUUGCAGACAAACUUGUUGUUUCUACAUCUUGCUCACUUCUCCACACUGCUGUGGACCUUGUUAAUGAAACAAAGUUGGACUCAGAGAUCAUAUCAUGGCUUGCAUUUGCUGCCGAAAAGGUUUUUGAAGUUGAUGCAUUGACCAAAGCAAUGUCUGGUAAAAAGGUUGAGGUAUAUGCUUCCGCUGAUAACCUGUCAUUUGAUUUUACUCUUAGAGUUGAUGGGUGCAAUUAUAUUUUUUUUCCACAUUCAUACAAGUUGUUCAUAAUGCAAAUAUAUGGUUCAGCUUUGUCCAUUAAUUAAAUGUAUUAUGUAUUAUAUAUUUGUUAUUCUAAUCUUACUGAUAUAUUAUAAGGCAUUCUUCUCAGCCAAUGCUUCAGCUCAAGUGUCAAGGAAGUCCUCCCCAAGGGUGACUAAUGAAGCUGUUCAGAAGGUUGUAAGUGAUUUGUCCUGCUUUCUUUAUUACAGGCGGCUACUUUACGGGCAAUUAAUCUUUACUUACCUGUGAAUUGCUGUUCCUCAGGCUUCCGCUCUAAAGGGUUCUGAUCACCGGCGUGCUACCAACGUUGGUGCAAGACUUGAUGCACAACAAAAGAAGCUUAAUCUCCCAAUUCUCCCAACUACUACCAUUGGAUCUUUCCCUCAAACUGUUGAACUCAGAAGGGUGCGCCAUGAAUACAAGGCAAAGAAGUGAGUGGUUUCUGUCAUCUGUUCUGUUGUAUGUGCAUUAGUUUUAGUAUCAUAAAAUUUCUGACAACUUUUUGUCUUUAUAUAUUUAGGAUUUCAGAGGAAGAAUAUGUUAAUGCCAUCACAGAGGAAAUUAGCAAGGUUGUCAAAAUACAAGAGGAUCUUGAUAUUGAUGUCUUGGUCCAUGGAGAACCAUAGGUAAAAAAGAAUUAUCCAGUCGCCUAUGCUAGCAAAUCAAUAUUCAAGCUUAGCAAGAAAACACAUGUAGUACCUUAAGCUAGUAGGUCACAUAAAAUUUGUUGAUAGGUGUUAUUAAUGUUUUUUCAUAUAGAGGAACGAUAUGGUUGAAUACUUCGGAGAGCAGUUGUCUGGUUUUGCUUUCACUGCUAAUGGAUGGGUUCAAUCUUAUGGAUCUCGCUGUGUGAAGCCUCCAAUCAUCUAUGGUGAUGUUAGCCGUCCCAAGUCAAUGACUAUUUUCUGGUCUUCUAAAGCCCAGAGCAUGACAAUGCGACCAAUGAAGGGAAUGCUCACUGGCCCUGUCAUGGCAAUACUGCAAUAUUCUGACAAAUUGAAAGCUAUUUCGUGUUUGUAGAUCUGAGACUUGCUACCAGAUCGCUUUGUCUAUUAAGGAUGAAGUGGAAGACCUUGAGAAGGCUGGCGUCACUGUCAUCCAGAUUAACGAGGCUGCGUUGAGAGAGGGAUUUCCUCUUAGGAAAUCUGAGCAUGCUUUCUACUUGGACUGGGCUGUGCACUCCUUCAGAAUCACCAAUGUCGGAGUUCUAGAUACAAUGUUAAUGUAAAAAUACAUUACUUGAUUCCAUUGUAGAAUCAAAUCAACGUAUAAGCAUUUGUAACAUUAAUAUAUUUUGCUUCUAUAAUGGAACUAAGUUAAUUUUUGUGAUUUAUUUUUUAUUCUAUUUUUUGUCGAUAUUUCUUUUUAGAUUUAACAGUUAAUUAUCAAGGUUCCAUUUUGGGUUUUAGAAAUAUAUAGAAGGAUGUUACAUGGACUAUAAAAAAUUGGCCCUCGAUUUUUUUUUGAUGUAUGCGGCACUCAAUUUUAUCAAGAAUUAAGCCGAUGGAUUACUAAAAGUUUUUUUGUCAAUAUUCUUAUUUUUAUUCAUUUAUGGAACCAUAUUAUAUCUAUAAUUGAAGCAUAUUGUCUUUAAGAAUUGGUUCCAAUGCGGAACCAAAUUAGUCGAUAUUAUAGUAAAAUGCUAUUUUCUUAAUUUUAGUGUAGAAUAGUUAACUAGGGUAUUGUUGUACAUUGUUAUACAAUGGAUUGUUUUGGGAAUGUGAGUACAGUGGUCUAAAUGUGAGUACAAUGUCGUAAAAUAGUGAAUAGAUGCCUGCCGGAAUGUAUAUUUACAAUGUCAAGAUUCCGUGUAAGAUUUCGUGUAGGUCAACCCUUACAAGACCCUGCCACAUAGUGUUACCAGCAGAUAAUUCCGCAUCACAAAGGCUAAAAUGACAAAGCGGUUGCUGAAAUAAGCUGCAAAACUCCUUCAACAUUAUCUGCCAUGUUAACAUGUGGUAUUACAUAGCUUUCUCAUCUUUCUAUCAUGAUUAAGAAUGGCGCUUACGCUUUUGACCACCAGAACAAUCUGCAUAACAAAUUUUAAUAGUUGUAUUAGAUGCUAGAUCUGGCAGAAAAUUUAUGAUGGUUUUCCCAUGAAGGGUGCCGGUAUUUCUGAAUCCUUACAAAUUUAAAACAGACUAAAAAUGAAAAUAUUGGAGCAAAAGGCACACAUUUAAAGGGCGGGGAUAAAUUUUCAAUUUUAAACACAAUUAGAUCUCAAAAAGAAAUGCGUAGAUCCACUUUUACAACCACAUUACGUGGCAUUCUUAAAAAUAAUUAAUUUCAUCAAUUUGACUACAUAUGACAUACCUGGAAGCAAGCAAAGCCAUUGUAGUUACAAAGUAGAAGUUGACAUUGCUAUUCCCCUGUAAUUAUUGUCAACUUAUCAACUUAAGAUCCACCAUGUAUUUUUAAAAUAUGAAUAACAAAAAAAUUAAUGUGUGUAACUUUGAGACAUAUAGUAGACACAUACCCUCCAUAUCCAUAGGUUGUGCAUCACAGGGCUAAAAAGGGAAACCCGCCACGUACCCUGAAAACAGUAACAAAGAGAACUGCAUAUCUGCUGGAAAAACUAAGUGUCAAGUAAGACCAAAGUAAUAACCAAUGAGAAUAAACAGAAUUCAAGUAAUUACCAGCUAGUUUAUUGACAAACAAACUCAAAAAAUCUAAAUACAGGGCCGAGUAUAAGAUAGACGUUUAAGUAGGCAUAUGACUUUGUAUAUAUGCAUAACAAAAUAGAAACCAACCCAGUUAUGGGGUCAAGAUUGUUUGAUAAACAAUAGCACGAACUCUUGUUUUUUUAACUAUUUAUGUAACAUUUACAAGACAAUUUAGAAACAAAGAAAUCCCUCUCAUUGUUUAAAAGUUAGUUGUUGCCUUUGUAGUAAGCAGGCAGGCUGCCAACACAUUAAAGAUAAGAAGGGAAGUAGGUAGUAACGAUUUCUAUACUUCACACUAACGCAUGUGAUCAUAAUAAAGAAUUAUUUUAUAUAUUUAACCGAGAUGCUUCAGGCCAACCAAGACAGUAAGAGGUCUUUGACCAACUUCUUCAGAAAUCUACCUGAAUUAAGAUCUAUAUUCUAAUUUCUAUACAUCAGAGAGACCUUAAGGAACUGAAAGAGUGAACUCCAAGAUCUUACGAGUUCCUGCAAGAUGCAAUGGCAUCCCUGCCAGUGCACCCUCCCCCAUAGACCCUUGACCACAAACAUACACAAAGACAAAAUAGCAACUUCAUAGAUUAUACAUGUACAUUGCUUCACCAAAAACAAUAGCUUAGACAAAAAGAUUAUACACCUUUACUAUCAUAAGUUGGUUUUCAAGUGUUCCCUGUGACAUCACAGUUUGAUUUAGGCAUAUCUAAAGUGUUAUGUAAUACAAAAUCUUUAUCUUUGAAUACGUGAAGUUUUAACCAUGGUGAGUAUGAUAGUGAAGCUAGUUCUCUGGUUGUAUUGAGUUUUUGAUGCUAUUAUUAGUGAAUGUCCUGUGUUGUUCAGUUGUACAGUUUGAAUCACAUUUUGUAAAACCUGUGGGCUUUGGUGAAUUGCUUAUUUAUACAUGAUUAGAACAUGUGCAUUUUUCAGGGAGGAGACGAAGUUCUCGUCUAAUAGAUAACCCAAGCUUGUAUAAAGGGCCUAAGAAAAGUCCUAUAUAUGUUGACCUGGUUAGUGAGCAGGAUAGUGAUGAUUCACAAAGUGUUAAUAAGGAUGAAAUGCUGGAGUGUAAUGAUGAUAUAAGGAACGACGGAGGCAGAACGGAGAGUAUGGAAAUGAAGGACUACAGUGAUGAAGAAAAUGACUUCGUCAUGCCAGGAGAAGUUUUCAGUAAUUCUGAUGGCAGUUCUAAAAAAGGUGGCGAUAAAAAGAGUUGUAGUUUGAGGAACAAAAAGGAAAAAUCUACAAGGAAACUAUUAUUAACAUCUGGGAAGAUUAAAAAGAGGUCACUACGGAAGGAGGUAUGUGUAUUGUAUUAACAUGUAACUUUGUUACCUGUUAUAGUUGAUACCCUGUUGUGGCUACAAAAAUAAUAUACUUGUCUUAUGCAGGAUGCAGGACCAAGUGUUAAACCGUCCAAGUGUUUGGCAAAUAAAUUAGGCAGGAAAUAUUCAAAAGUCCCUAAUAGAGACGAAGAAGAAGUUGCAGAACUUGAGGGGGCGCGCAAAGUAAAGACAAAGGUGAAAAGGGUCAGAACUUAUGGGAACUACAUUCAGAAGAAAUUUUCACCCACGAUAAUGUCUGAUGUAAUUGGUGGAUUGUCCGAAGAACAAAAAAGGUGGGUAAGAGAUACGGGAUUUGGAGAGUUGCUCAAAUUUCGGAUGUUACACUACACACAUCAACUAGGGUAUAAUGUUGUUAAAGCUUUCAAUUCUGAGAAAUGCACCCUAGAGUUAGAUGCAGGUAUUAUUCAAAUAGACGAUAAAACGGUUGAAAAGGUGCUUGGCCUGCCAAGGGGGGCUAAAGAGAUAGUAUUUGAUGAGACAAAUGAAUCAAUUUCAGAAUGGGGUGCGCAAUUUCAGGGAUGUAAAGGGUGUCUGAUAACACCAAGAAUGUUGAGAGACAAGAUUAUUGGAAGUAAGAUGGUUGACAAGCAAUUUAAGAUGAAUUUCCUUGUCAUGUUGUAUAAUUUCUUUAUCGAGGGAAAUCAAAGUCGGUAUCUAAUUCGUGAUGUACUGAAAUCCGGAUUGGAUAUAAAUGACUGUGGGAAAUAUAAUUGGUGUCAGCUUUUAGUUGACAAGUUAAAGAAGACUCAUAUGUUUUGGGCUGGUGAUAAGAAGCGGAAUUUCACAGGAGCCUUGCCUUUUCUUAUUGUAAGAAUAACAUACUAAUUUUUAUAAUUUUAUGGCACUUAAAUGCAUCAUUUUCUAAUGUAGUUUUGUUUAUCUGAUUGUGCAGUAUCUCUAUGUGAGCAAAGUCAUGAACAAGAAUAUUGUUUAUGUGAGUCCUUCGUUCCCAGCAUUUCAUGCUUGGUCCGAUAUGUUACUUCGUGAAAGACAGAAAUAUGAAGAGAAGGAAGACUGUUUCGGUGUAGGUGAUUUGGUUGAACUGGAACCUGUUGUCCUGGUAAAAGGCCUAAAAAUUCAUAGAACUUUACUCUUUCUAUAAAUAAAAAAUAAAUAAUGAAUAUUUCGCGAUUUAAAUACACUUGAUUUUCUUAACCAACACGCAGAAAGGUGAAGGGAUUACAGUUGCUGUAGGGCCGGUAAAUCAAAGUGAACAUGAUGUAGACGAGAACAUAGAACAUGAUUCCUUAGAGAGCGUUGUGAGUUUAAAAAGUAUUCUAGUGAUUUAGAUUGUUGCAAGUUGUUUGUGAUGGCUAACCGUGUAAAUCUCAAUGCAGGAGAAAAGUGAAAAGGAAGAUGACGAGUUAGAUGAGAUGAUUGUAGAGGAUUCAUUGCAAAUGAGUGAGAAUAUUUAUGAUGAUGUAGCUGAAGUGGAUAUUGAUGUGGACAUGAAUGUGAAUGAUAUGGUAUGAAAGCAUUUAUUAUUUUAAGCUGCUUAAAAUAAAUUAUUUGGCAUACUAUUUUGUACUGAUUAUACCGUGUUCUGUGAUGUCAAAUUGUGACUACAGGAUGAAGAAGAACACACACCAAUUGAGGAACUAGUUUUAGUGCAGAACCGCAGUGAGAAAAUUGAAGAAAUAAAAUGCAUAGAGGUUGAAAGGAAUGUUAAGAUUGAGAAGGUGAUAUGUUUUUAUUUGUAGACUUCUUAUGAAUAGACUAAAAUCUAGUUUAUCUAUAUAUAAAAAGUAUUUAGUCUUAGACGAUUAUUUAUGUUAUUUAAGAAAGAAAUAGUUGAAAAUUCAUUUCUCAACCAUGGGAUAGUAAUUGGAUGGUUCCUGUACAGAUAAAUGUGGCGAACGAAUCAAAUGUCAUGCAUAGUGGUCCAAAUUUGAUGACUGCAGAGGAGUACUGGGUAAACACAAAACAGUUUUUGUUACGUCACUUUGUGACUUAGAUAAGUUACAUGUUACUCUUAAAACUAACAACAUAAAACUCUGCAGCAAGCUACCUUUUAUAAGAGAGAAAUUCUUGAAGGGUGUACAGAUUCAGACUUGGAGAAGAGAAUCACAGUUGGAACAAAUAACAAUCAUAACAAGGUGAGAAAAAACCCUACCUACAACAUUUUGUAUAAUUUUGUAUCUUGUUUCACAAACAAAAAAUUGAUGUGCAAUCAGGGGAUUCCUAAGCAGAGGAACUUGGUCGACGAAUCAAAUGUCACGCACAGUGUUCUAAAAUUGAUGUCUGCAGCGGAGAACAUGGUAAACAGAAACCAAAAAAUAGUGGUAAACAAGGAGAAAAGGUUAGAAGACGAAAACAUAAUAAAAAAUCGGACAACCAAAGAGGUAACUCGAAAUAUUUCUAGAUUAUUAAUAAGGCUUAUUGUUUAAAGUAUACCCUGCAAUUAUAUGUUUAGUUUUGUUAUAACAUGAAAACAAAAUGUUGAUAAAGUAAAUAAGUUUACCUUAAAGUUACCUUGGUUAAUAUUAGCGCGUUUCUGUUCAUAAUGUGUCAUCACAAGAUUAUGUGAUAAUUACUUUUCUCACUGACAUGCAGGAAGCUUAUAAAGAAGGGAAUGCCACAGAGGGGACACAAAGUAAUGUCGAUGAUUUGAUAGAAAAACAUUUUGAAGAGGAUGUAAGAACAGAAACCCGGGGUUUUUUUUUUUGCCUGUUUUGUACUCAUAUACUUGUUAUGAACCUUGUCUUAUAUAAAUUUUUUGAAUCUGACCAUGUUAGAAUUAUGUCAAAGAGUUUGGAAGAAAUCUGGAGGAGCUCAGACUUGUUUAUGGAAAGUGUCUAAAUAAUUAUGAGGUGUCGGGACUCUUGUAUCCGACUAAUCCAGACCUUGCUGGUAUGAAAAAAGAAUUCAGCUUCUUUUUUAGCUUAUUCGAAGAGACAAGUCCGUUAUCAAAAAAGCUAUUUAUGGGAACCUUGGAAGGGAGUCGUGGAGAAAAUAAUGAAACAGAUUUCAGGUCUUUGCCAAGCUUUUCAUUGGGCCUGACACAGAUGACUCCUAAAAACCUUUGUAAAGAAUUGGAAGGAGAGGAUAUAAGGGGUGCAACAACCGGGGGGAUGUAUUCACAUACAAUAAAAGAAGGGUUUGAUGUGGUCUGUGUUAGAGAGGAUACUAAUUUAGCACAAAGACAACGAUGUGAACUUAGGGCAACGGAGAUUUGUCGAUCUCCAUUUGUUAGCAGGGUGGUUGAUGUAGUAUCUCACACACUGACCACAGAGGAAAAAAAAUGUCUGGAAUUGGUUGUUCGCCAAUAAGCGAAACAAGAAGUAAGUAAUCUUCAAUACAUUUCAGUUUUUAUAGGACAUGAGGACCAUUAUCAAGAGAGUAUUAUGAUUUAUGUGUCUUAAUAAAUAUGUAAAUGUGGUUGCAGGGAUAUACUUUUCGAAUGGAACGAGAGAAUGUGCACCAAAGCACACUUCCAAUCACUGCAUGACACCAAAUUGGUGGAGAGUAGCGUAAUUGAUGCUUGGACAUGUAUGCUAAACGAGAAUGAGAUAUUGAGAUCUGAUUCUUCACCCCUAAGAUUGUUCUUGAAUACUGAGACGACUGUAAGAUUUGAUCUUUACCAAAUCUGUUCGCUUAUUUUUUACCUAAUAGGACAAUACAAUGUGCCAUAUAUGUAAUGUAUUUGAGAAAAUUUUGUUCCAGUUUGGUCCACUUAAUAUGUCGGUGGCUAAAGGAGAUAUACACGCGGACCUUAAGCGUAAAGCCGUCUUUGAUGAUAACAUGGAUGUUGUCCUGGAAAUGAUAAGCAGAGUUCACAAGAGGAUUUAUGAUGUCAAAGACUUUGAUAUGGUAUGUUCUUUAUUAAUUAAGUAAUUUUAAGUGUUAUGCAGAUCAGUUUGAUAACUAUUGGUGUUGUGUAGUUUGUGUUCCCAAUCUUUCAUGCAGCACACCAUUUCAUUAUAUGCUACAAUAUGAAGAAACCAACGUGGGAGAUAAUUGACAACAGGGUGCAAAAUUCCAAAAUUGAAGAGUUAUAUGGGGAUCUGCCAUACAUUCUGGCAAGUACAAACUAAAUUAUUGUUCGUGUGCUUUUAAAAUUGUGAUAUUGUCAUACUUUAGUUGGAAGCAAAGUUCUACGCAAAAUAUGAUACAAUUAUAAAGAAAAGCAAAAUAAUGACUCAUUGUUUUACUAUCACAUUUGUCUAAUAAUAAUGAAGUAUUUGUUCUACACCCCAGCAUGAAUUGUUUUACUAUCUCAUUUGUCUAAUAAUAAUGAAGUAUUUGUUCUACACCCCAGCAUGAAUUGUUUUACUAUCUCAUUUGUCUAAUAAUAAUGAAGUAUUUGUUCUACACCCCAGCAUGAAUUGUUUUGUGCUUGGAUAUCGAUAUACAACCUGCCGAAGGGUAACGAGCUCGUUUCUUUGAAACCAAGAGUUGUACGAGUAGGCUGGCAGACAAGGGACAAUUUUAGUGACUGCGGAAUCUUUGUUAUGCGCCAUAUGGAGACGUAUAUGGGUAGUCUGUGCAGGUGGCGAGCGGGUUUACGUACCGAAAAUGUAAGCUAAAUUCAUUUACUUUUCACCUAUUGACUAUCAUAUAUCAUGUGAGUAAUAUUAUGUGCGUAUGGAUGUUUUUUCCAGGAUAAUCAACGGAACUUAUUGAAAAAACUGAGACUUAUUUAUUGUCACCAGAUGCUAACGUGGUCUGGCAACAAGCUGAGUGGUGUUAUUAAGAAGAACGUAGCUGCAAUGGUCAAAGGCAAAAUGAUAGUAGAAUGAGAUUGUAGUUUACUAAAUAUGCAGCACAAUUCUGCCAAUAAAUGUAACAAACCUAAUUAAUUAGUUUUUGGUCUGUGAUUUUAACAUCUGUAAUGCUCUACUCUCGAAUUCACACUGAAUUCUUAUGAUUAUCAAUUUGAGCUGAUUGGCCUGAUAUUUCUGGCUUUGGUGUGAUGAAGUUUUACAUGUGUUUGUACAGUACAUCUGAUUAUAUUUCAUUUGACAAGCGAUUUAAAAACAAGAUUGCAAAUAGUUCAGACUACAUAAGUGAUCUUGUUAAAGAUGGCUUAACACGGUUUUAAUCAUAUUUAACUUGUGCUAAUUUGUUUAAGUAAACGAAGACGGCACCUCGUAUAAAUUUUAUAUAAAAAAUAAAACGACACCUCAUAUACAACAAAAAAUACACCAUGAGUGAAAAAACGUCUCUAAGACCCAAAAAAUCCUCAAGGAACAACCUCAUAGAGGAACAAAGCAACCAAAGCAACAAAAACACCAAGUGAAAUUAGAAUCAUCUCUUGCAAGCAACUCUUAGAUAACAGUAGUCAUGACAUCUGAUAAAGUGGUGAUCAACUGCAUAAUCUAUUGGGUCAACAACUGCUGGAUCUACUAAUGGACCUGGAGCUGCUCCCGUGUCUUUAACUGCUGCUCGUCCUGCUUCUAAAGUGUUUGAUGUAUGACACCUAAUUACAUUUACAUACAGACUCUCUUAAGCCUCUUUGUUUGUCCACUCAGGACAGAGCUUUGUUUAUUGUAGCCUGUAGGCUAGAGAUACUACAUCAACCUUGACUUGCUUAUAGAAUUAAAGGAGUUACACCACCACCAUGCAUACUAUCAGAUUGAUUUUGUAGAAUCUACAGGAAACAAAAUGAAGCAUACUUAGCAAGACACUGCAAUUCUGCGCGUUCACCCUGUACGAAAUAUUUAUAAGGCGCCGUCUGACUAUCAAACAGGCUACACCUGAAAACACCAGAACAAAUAAAAAACACCAUCAAGGAUGCAUCAACUCCCUAACAACAGUCAAUAUCAAGAAGCAAAAAACCCAAUAUCAAGCAAAAGCAUGCCCAGUCUACUGGACCUCUCCAUAAAAUAAGGAGUAAAUAGUUUGCAAGAGUUGAAAUUAACUAUCUUCUAGUGCAAAUCAUCGAUAGAACACAAAAUUACAACAGUACGGUCAGUUCAAUGAAGAGAUGGCUAAUCUGAAAUUACAACAGGAAUUAGAAGGAAAUUAGUACACCUUCCCCAAGCUUCCAUCAUUCUGUUUUGGAUUAAGAGUGAACAUUAUUCACCAAAUUACUUCUACAACGAAACUAUAGAACAGAAGGCUACUCCUGUCACGUCUAAAUUCUGCCAGUUUAGAACAUUUUCUUUUUAGAACAAAAUCAGCCACCUAGAAGCGUCACUUAAAUUUGUAGUUGCAAAAUGAACCCGAUGCAAGAUUUUUUUUGCAGAUUAGGAGGCAACACCUGUCAGAUCCUGCAGUACAGUUUCGAUGUCUGGCCUGUGGAUGGGAGAUUCGUGAGUGCAUAACAAAGCAAUUUUUGCCAACUUAAUUACCUUUGAUUCUAUAUUCUUCCCCUCAAGGUUUGCAUCCAUAAAAUCUUCUAGUCUGCCCAACUCUGCUCCUUGACGAAUUGACUGUCUGAUCAUCCGUUUUCCACAGAGAAUCUGGAGUAUAAUCAUACCAUAUGCAUAUACAUCGCUCUUGCCAGUGAAUCGCCCAGUUGUGGUGUACUCGGGGGCCAGAUAUCCCUUUGCAGCACUAGCUUUAAGCGUGUAAAAGAAAAUAUCAUCUGCAAGCAAUUUCUAGAUACCAGAACCUGAGAGUAAUGGAUUGUAUUGUAGGUCAAUCAAAACUUUCUCAACUGAUUAGAUUUUAGUGAAUUAUGGCAGGUUUGCAUAUUCUGACUAUAUGCAAAUAUCCAAUACAUGAACAAAAAAAUUUAAACUUUUAGGCAAUUAAAGAAUCGUAUAAAGAAAAAGCAUCCUCAGUCUACUGGCCCUCUCCAGAAUAAUAUGCAGGCAAACUCCAGAAAUAUUCACAACAAGCACAAAAGAAUUCCCCAGCCUGAAUCUGCUACUAAAAAUAACUAAGCACAUUCUUCAAGCAUGAAUACUUUACCACCAAGAAAAUUUAAACAUAAGACCCAAAGAAAUCAGCUCAACCAGGAACAGUUAAAAAAGACAAUCAUUCGACCAAAUGAUCAAAAUAAAAACCAGCAACCAACAAUAAACAUGCAAAACUAGAAGCAAAUUUCAAACUGAAAUGUACUCCUUAUAGAGAAUAACUAAAAUAUAAAUCAAUAAGUAAGAAGUCAAAUAGGGAUAUCUGAAACAUUGAACAACACAAUGUUUAAACAUUACACAAUCUUCAAACUCAAAUAAAGAGAUCUCAAUAAAUAUUGAGUGAAAAAAAAUAGUCUCAACAUGAUUAAAGGUUGAAAAACUUGGUUGGAAAAACAAAUUCUUCACUCUUUACUCAAUGUUCUCUGAAACUGAGGAUUUUUUAGGCUCUGGACAAGUGCGCGCAUUGUGUCCAACAACUCUAUUGCAAUUACUGCACUUCCUCUUCUUUUCUGAACCUUGAGAAAUUUCACGACUACUUUUUAUACGGCUUCCGCAACCUUUGUUCCUACUUAUAUCAGGAUUGAACACUGUCACAUCAGAGUCGGGAAUAGGCCCAAUGAAUUUAUCAGCUCUGUGACAAUUUUCUCCGUCUAAAUGUCUCCCAUUUUUUCCAAUUAGGGUAGAAUUAAUUGAGUACAACCCAUUGAGGACUAUAUCAAUACUACCCUCAUCUUCGCCAACAAGAUUCAUAGAAUCUUUGAAUUCAAACCAAGCCCUUGUCCUCUUAAGCUUCAUUCUUUUAUGACUAUCACUUACUAAGCUCACGUCUGCUUGCGCUAGGAAUGAGUGGUGUUUAAUAGCAUCUUUGGUCCAUCUUGUCUUGACAAAUGCGCGAGGAAUCUCCUUAACUCUACAUUGGUACAGAGCCGCGAAAGCAUGCCUACAAAGGUAACCUUUUUGAAAAAAGAAAUUACAGCUGCAAUACACAUAGUUAUCACUAUGCCUGACAGAAACCUGCAACAUCAAUUAGUUUGAUAAAAAGUACAGAGCAUAGAUGAAGGAAAAACAUACAGCCUCACUAAAAAAAACUAAAAAACAAAAUGUAAUAUUGAUAACAACAUAUGUUAACUGUGGAACAACAAAAAUAGACAUGACAACACUGAUUAGAUUUAUUAUAAUUGGUAUCAAGGCCGAGAACUGCUGGUAAUAAGUGUAGUACAAAUUACUAAUUACAAAUAUAACGUAAUGAUCUAACUUAUAUUUGAGAGCAACACUAGACAUACCAUAUGUAAUAUUUAGCAGAAGGGAAUAUAGAAUACCUCAAAAACAUGAUCAUUCAGAAGUUCAUCUUUAAAUUUGAAUCUGGAAAAAUCAUUGUCACGUGACAUAUAAUCCAUAAUAGUGUGACAACAUCCUGAUCUUAUCUCCUCCCGAACCAAAUAGAAAAGUUCAAGUGUGUAUAACUUGGAUGCAUCAACCUCUAUGCUCAUGGUUGCGUUAUGCAACGAAAUCUUGUUAGAUCUUCUCUCAUCUUCUGCAUUUCUCAGACGUUGCUUGUCCAUUGCACUUUCAAAGCUAGAAUAGAACUCAACCAGAGUGUCUCCACUUUCAUGAAAGUUUUGAAAAAAGAAAUUAGAACUUUCAGAUCUUGAAGUAGUUCUAAGAAGCCCGGCCAUUUCAAUAUCUGAAAAAUAUGCGGGAAUCCAUUCAGCACGCAUAUCAUACAUUUCAGAUAACCAAUUAUUAGCCUCUAGAUUAAAUUCUGCAAUCACAGAUUUCUAGCGUUCCUCAAAAUCAUUCGGAGUUAGGUGAUCAGAAUACACAAUAGCUUUCAAUUUGGAAACAAAUUUUGUGUUGGAAGCAAGUUUAGGGCCAAUCUGCAAUUAGAAAUAGAUUAAAGGACGUGAAAAUUAACAUGUAACAUAGGAACAAUCUUUGUUAAUUUAAUAACUUAUGUAACUACACAACACAGUACCUUCGAGGGCAGCUUAUUCAUUAUAUGCCACAUACAUAGUCGAUGUGUUGUAGUGCGCCACCAUUUAUCCAAUGCUUUUUUAGUGGCUUUACAUUGGUCUGUUAUAACGCAUGACGGAGCUCGACCCAUUGCUUUCUUGAAUGUGAGAAGAAGCCAUUUAAAAUUUUUAUAGUUUUCUUUGGCUAGAAGUCCUGCAGCAAAAGUGACGUUCUUCCAAUGAUUAUUGACACCGGUAAAUGGUACAAAUACCAUAUGGUACCUGGCAACAAAUGUUAACAUGUUAGAAACAUAAAUCUUAGAAAAAUUAGAGUGAAGAAUUUAGCAUAACAAAGCAGAAAAGUUAGUAUAUUAUGGAUCAGAUAGAUCAUUUUAAAGUACUUAUUAAAGGGUGUAUAAGAAGCUAAUACAGUAAGCUUAUUGUAUACUAAAAAAUAUUGAAAUAAAGAAUGAAAAUAAUACUUGUUUGUGCGAAAUGUAGGGUCAAAUGAGAUGAUAUCACCAAAUACAUCAAAAUUAGCUUGUCCAAUAGCAUCUGUCCAGAAAAGACCAGUAAGGCGCCCCUUCCUAUUUACUUUGUAAUCGUAGUAAAAUGAAUUUUCAGUAGCCUUUUUCAGAACAGAGAAUUUGUCCAAAAUCAUAUCCGCAUCAUGAUCUCCAAUACGAACCUUUACAUCCCUCGCAAAAUUCUUAAAAUCAGCAAUAGUGGCACCUACAUUAUCAUAAGACCCAGUCAUCUCUUUCAUUAAACUGUGCGCUCGUGUUGCGCCGAUAUUAGCUCUUGCACAGUCCAUUAUGAAAUUCUGAUGAGUAACAGACAAAUUUCUAUUACACCUUAGGAACAUUCGAGCAGGUCCAUAUGCGAAUGAAUGAUUAUGUUCCUCUACAAAACUCAUUAUCACGAAUCCUCUAACACCUGCCGGCUUCAAAACUAUUUUUGCUUUGCAAUAACAUCUCUGUGAUGUUGUCCUCCUUUGUGAUCCCUCAACAACAGCAUCAUCAAAACCAUUCAGAAUUUUUUUACCAGGCCCACCACCAUGACUACACUGUAUAUGCUUGGCAUAUGUGCCACGCUUAUAUGGUUUUUUGGAGGAUUUACGAACAUCAAAUCCACAACUACGCCCAUACUCCUUAUAAAAUAAAAAUGCAUCUUCUAUUGUAGGGAAGUGGUGAUUUACUUGUGGUUUUUUGCUUUCUUCACAUUUAGGUGUCCAAAAUUUCACCCCAUUUGGAGCAACAUAACACGUAGCUUCAGAUUCAUCAAGAGUACUUUUUUGUUCAACAUCUUCCUCGGAAUAAUCCUCUGAGUCGGAGCUUUCAGUUGCAUUGUAAGAAUCAUGAGUUGAUCGAUCUGAAUCAGAACUUUCAACAUGUGGAACCAAUUGAGAGCCUUUUACAAUAACAAAUUUGUAACCAACAUAAUUAACUUAACGAUACAGUAGCAUAACAAUCAUAAAAACCAAUUAACUGAAACUCAAAUCAAUAGAACAAUCAACAUUACAAUCAACCAGUGCGUAACAUAAAUUUAAUAACUUUGACCUUGACAUAACAAAAUGAAACGUUUACUGAAAAUAUCUACCAAAAAAGCGCAACUCAACUUUUCCAAAUUCGGAAAAUAAUACAAAGCUCUUUGAUUAACGAUUCACAAAAGUAAAACAAGACUCAGGUUUUGAGAAUUGAAUAAUCGUGCAACACAAUAGAGAAUUUUAUAAACAAACCUGAUGCUUCCUCUUCCCCCGCCAUGAAAUCGGGAACUGAAGUAGAAUGUAUUCGAUAAUAUAAGAUGAAAAGGGAACAAAAGCCUCUAGAUUGUAUAGGACAUUGUUGUCACUAGUUGCAAAAUAGAGAGAUACAGGAGGAAGACGACGAUAAGUCAAGCACAUAACUACCGCCCUGAAAAAGCGUCACAUUAACUGUUCGAAUCAGUUACACGUAUAAGAUGUGUAUAUAUUGUUUCCACACGUAUUUGUACUAAUAUUAUGUAUAUUAAAAUAUUAGAAAAAUAUUAAUUAGAAAACUUAUCGGCCAUUAGAUAAGAUUGUAAUGGAUGGACAGGAUUAAGGACUCCAAGACUCCACAUAAAAAGGGACUCCAAUGAACUUAAUUCUCUCUCUCUCUCUCUCUCUCUCUCUCUAUAUAUAUAUAUAUAUAUAUAUAUAUAUAUAUAUAUAUUGGAAAUGUCAAUUCAUUUUUUAACUAAGGGGUUUAGAGGGCCGGAGUUGCUAUUAUAAUAGGGGGUAUGAAAUAUUAUGUCUUUAAUAGCUCUGCUUCGGUGUUGGUAGAAGAGGAUAUUUUCAGUUUUAAAUUAUCUGUUAUUUUUUAUUUAUAAAAAAAUUAUAUAAUUUUUUAUAUAAUAAAUACAAAUUUAAAUUCUCACUAUUAUUAUAUAUUUAAAAUUUAUUUAAAUACAUAUAAAAAUAAAAAAAAUUAUGAUAAGAUUAGCAUGACAACACACACGGACUGGACGUGGGUCCGGUACAAGCAGAUGAUGCAAUAUUAUUAAAUCUAAGGAAGCAUUUAUGAGAUGAUAAAACUCGAGGAAUAAGACAACUAUUAGACUUCAUUCUAAUUCUAAGUUUUUUGCAAAAUGAAAUAGUGACUCAAAUUGAUUGAUUCUAUAUCUUAAUAUUUAUGUUGGUUUUAUAUUUAUACUAUUACCAAAUGUCUCAGUCGUUUCCAGUUAAACUUGACACCUCUUGUGUUGCUUUCUAUUUGUCUAUUGUGCUAUUUCAUGACGGUAUAGAAAUGACGUCAUUAUUACAUCAUAUUACUUGUAUGGUGGUAAUUCAUCCUCAAGUUAAAAGUGAAAAAAAAAUAAAAACUCCUAACUUUGUGCCUCAACCGUAACUCGAUACUCGGUCACAGAAAAAAACUGGACACAAUUGAUUUCUUUUCGCUUUUCUAGCGAAUUAAAAAUGGACCUAGUGUAAUACGGAAACUAAUGACAAAUCUCAGUCAACAAAUAUAAAGUUAAGCAGCAAAGAGAUUACCAUAUAAUUAUAACGAGUCCAAUGACUUAGUAAAGGUGAACCUAGAGUAGACUUGAGAUUUGAACCAUUAAUGAAGCUGAGCCAUAGCUUUAAAUAUUAAUGCGAUCUCUAUAGAUCAACUGCAGUGAGAGUAGUGUUCAUUGAGAACAUUUGUAGUAGACUCAUGUCUGCAUUAUCCGAGACCGAAAGAAAAUAUGAAAGAUUAACAUCAUUUUGAGACAAUAUAGAGGAUCUGGUAAGUGCAGUAGAAUAAGACUACUGAUAGGUCAUUGUUAUAUGAACGAAAAUUCAAAAAAACAACAUAACGAGACUAUAACGACAUAAAGAGAGAUAAAGAAGUAUAAAGUAGUAAAAAGUAAAAGACAUGAAAAAGAAUCCAUCGAGUUUUGUGAUUCUGAUACUAUGUCAAAAGUAAAGAAAUAAUUACAAAGAUGAUAAAUUUUGCAUGAAGAAUAAAAUUACCAAACUUCAUUCGAUUUCUGAGUUUCUUGCAAAACGUAAUAAUGACUCAAAUUGAUUAUACAACUCAUUAUUUGUAUGGGUUCUAUAUCUAUAUUAUUACAUAAUGUAUCUGCUAUGUCCGACUAGACUUGAGACACUCUAUGUUACUCUAUAACACUAUUAUUACUUGUUCUUUUUACUAUUUGAUGUUAGAUAUAGAAAUAAUAUGAAUGUUGUACUAUUAGUAAUAAUAUCAUGUUUUUGAAAUCUAAAACAACAUUUUGUCAAUUGACAAUAAUUUUGUAUCUUUUUAACUAAUUACAAUCACAUGAUUUUCCCGUAUAGAUCUUUAUCUAGAUGUUUUUUGGAAUUCAUGUUAUAAUAUAAUGAUUUUAAAAAGAUAACAUAAAUUAUUGAUUUUAUUAUAUGUUUUGUCUCUAAAUUAUUUCUGUAUAUGUAAAGACCCGUGCCUCGCACGGGUUUUUAGGCUAGUUUUUUAUUACGUUGGAUCAUCCUUCCUGCUUUUCCCAGAAACAGAUCGUAGAAUGUUAAGCUGGUGGAUCGGCUGGAAAGCUCUUUUUCCUAUGAUCUCCUCCUCCUUUUCCUGAUUUUUGAAGAUCAUAUAAGCAAGGAUGUUGUCUGUUUUUAUUAUCACUCUAGGAGUUUCCCUCUCAAAGCCCACUCCAAGGCCAUAUGCAUGACCCAUAAAUGAGCUUGGAGAGUAGAAGCACCCCGAAGGGGACUCAUACGCCCAUAUAUAUAUUCUUCUAAAUGAUUUCUCACUAUCAUAGCGAUCCCGUUAUCAUUUCCAUUUGGGAGAGGGUAAACUGGAGUCGAGCCAUGAACAUUGAUUUUCAGCGUAUCUUUUGCUGGCGUAUUUCUGGAACGGAUAUCCGAUCCGAGAUCCGUGAUCCUAACGGAUCCGGAUAUGGAUCGGUAUAUAAAAAAUCCGGUAUCGAUCCGAUAAAAUAAAUGGAUAUGAAUAUGGAUUUAGGUCGAUCUGAUCCAAACCCGAUCAAUUCACAGCCUACCACCAAUGCAUGGCUGUUUUUAACGAUCAUUAUUUUAUUGGAACUAUAAGGUAGAGCAUGCUUGACAUUUUUCUUGGAUUUGUAAAAAUAUGACAUAUAAAAGCAAGUCCAAGAGUGUCCUAAACUUGUGUCGAAAAUAUAAGGCUUUUGAUGAAAAAAUUCAGUUCAAGAGUGUCAUAGUAGUGCAUUCUCUAGGACACACAACAUGUGUCUCAUUUUUGAGGCACUACUAGACUUGUCCUAAAUCAUUUUUAUCCACAAAAUAUUCUCGUCCCUCAUUUUUCAUUUUUUUUCAUACUUAUCUUAUAUGUGAUUGAAUUCAAAUAUAUUAAUAUUUUAAUUAUGAGCCAUCAAGAUAAGGCUUAUUGAUAGCGCUUCACAUUGAAGGCCCAAUUUUGCAUAAUUGUCUGCUUCUGAAUUAAAAUCUCGGCCCAUCCUCAUGAAAUGCAGCGACUCAGAAUAUGUAUGUAAGCCAAACUUAAGACCCAUUUUCCCAAGUCUUUUUUGUUUUUAAUUUUCAAUUAAGAAGCUGAUAACUUCUUCCGAGUCGCUCAAAAUGCCAAUUUGAUCUCCAUUAUGCCAGCAUUUAAACAUUUCAGAUAUCAGAUGUUUUACCGCCUCAAGUUCAGCUUCAAAAAUUGUUUGGGCUGAGCUAGGACCAUAAAAAACAUAUAAAGGAUGAUCAUUUGAAUCUUUAAUAUAACGUCUAAUUCCAGCUUUACCUGGUCUAAUAAAGGCCCAAUCUGAUAACCCAAUUUUUGAAUAUUUCUUGAAGAGCGCAGCCCACUUGCAAUCAAUAUCCAUUUUCCAAUUUGCGUGUAAAAUUAAUGUUGGAUUUUCGAACCAGACCUCUUGUUGGUAUGAACAUAACAUCUUAGAAGCUUCCAACCAUUUAAAGGAAUGAUUUUUAAAAAUGAAAGCAAUCCUCGCUUCUGCCACUUUUUUGUUACUCCCUCCGUCCCAAAAUACAUGUCAUUUUGACUUUUUUCACGUAUGUGAAUAAAAAGAAUAGCUCCACAAAUCAUUUUUCAUAUUUUCUUUUUCUAAAUGAAAGUAUAAAUAUUAAACUUUAAUUCAAGAACAAAAAAUUUAAAAAAUAAUAUACGGAGCUAUGAUUUUUAUACACCUUAAAUUACGUGAAAAAAAUCAAAGUAACAUGUAUUUUGGGACGGAGGGAGUAUUGAAGAUCAAAUCAUUUCUUAAGAUCUGGACCAUAAAACAGCAGAAACCACCGCGUACCACCCCUUGAGGAUAUCAGCAGACGCUGCAGUGCAAACAAAUUUUUGAGAGAGAAAAUUGCUGGCGUGAAAUAGGACCAACAUCAUUUACUAUUUUUUAAAAAUUUAACUUCAACAUCAUUUAAAAAAUCAUUUGAAAAUUUUAAUAUUCCCUAAACGCCAUUUAUUAACCAUAUCAUUUACUGUUCUCCACUUUAGAUUCGAAAGCAUGUAUCACCUCUGAAAUGAUUUACUUAACGUGUACCCUUUGCUAGGGCAGGGUUAGGAAUUUUCGGAUUCUUUGUGGACCAGCCCAAAUAUUACAUUAUUUUGAAGCCCAACGUUACUAAAUAAUUUCAAUUAUUCCCCUCAUACCCAGCCCUCAAAAGUCAAACCCAGUCCUUAAUAUUUUUAUGACAUUAGUUCCAGCCAUUUUGAAUUCAUAACUCCAAAUUUGUGUGUCAAUUUUACAAGCCUGCCCACCUAUAUCGCCUCCGACCUCCUCAAUUAUUUAGGUCGGGUUCGGUACGAAUUUUAAUAUUUAUACUAUCAUUUUUCAAGAUUUUUGAUUAAAUAUGAUUUACGUAAAUAUUAUAUAAUAUUACGAAUUUUAUAAUGUUUUAAUCGCACAACAUCUACCACUCCCGAGAGUUUGCGAUGAAAAAUAGUUCCCGACUCAACUCUAAUUCAACGAGAUUUGAGUAUUUUGAGCAUAUAAAUUUAACAAUUCGUAAUAUAGAUUCACAGAUAUUAAUCAACCAUUUUCCUAUAUAUGCAAAAUUAAUACGUGUAUACAUAUGAAAUGAAUAUUUACUUUUUGUAGAUAAAUAAUGUUAAACACCCAUCAUGCAGUUUAUCUGAAAAAAAUAAUCCAUAAACAUGAAUAUAAACAUACAUAAAAUCCUCGCACGUUAUUAACAUGAGUGUCAUAAUAUCUUUAUUUUAAAGAAAAAUCCAAACAUAAACAUGAAAACAAACACACUUAAGGAUUAUGCAUGGAGUCCUCACUAGUUAUUAACAUUUGAUAUUCAAAUGUAACUGUGCAAUAUGAAAAAAUGCCAAGCAUUUCAGAUCAUGUUCUUGCAUCCAAUUCGAACACAUCAGGCUUGUUUUAGUGUAUACUCAGAGUCAUCCACUUUGGGAUUCUUGGCGGUGAAUUCUUGGAUAGCACAAGGAUCCGGAAUCUCAUGACUUGUGUUCUCAAAGUCACAAUACCAUUUCACCAAACAUCCUCAGGUGCCUUUUCCUUUCGAGUUUUGAACACACGGUGAAAUGUGCUUCGAAGUUGUUGAAGUAUUCCAUGAGUUCUCAUUUGGCCAGCACUAACGGAGGCUACAAAUAUGAGGUAUGCCUGACCUGAGUGUUUGGCUCGGACUCCCUGAUGUUUCUAAUCUUCCACGAUUGUAUAGGAUUUAAUUAUCUACUAAACAAUGAUAGCAUGAUUGUAUAGGAUUUAAUUAUCUACUAAACAACGAUAGCAUGAGGUGGUCGAUUAAGCUUUCUUUGUUGUAAGUUGUAACACUUGCAUUUCCCCUAUCUUACUAUUUCCAGGGACACUGACUGGUUCCCUUCAAUUAACAUGCUUCACAAUACAAAUAUACCAUAUUAGUACAAACUUAAGCCUGUACGGGUUGUUAACAGUACUGGUCUUGCAUAUCCAAAUCUUGAGGCCAACCAUUUCAUUGUCCCGGUUCCUAAUUCCACUAGAACCUUGACAUCUCUUUGAGAAUUUUAUCUCUCAGAUAAAAAUUUGAAUGGUUCAUACCACAGUCUACUAGGUCUUCAUUUCUCACUUGUCUUGACCUCAGGCCUAAUAACUUUGGAGGUUCAAUACCUGAAUCUAUAGGAGCUUUGACAUCCCGACAACCUUGAUCUCACACAACAAAUUACAAGGUCUGAUUCUAUUGAAAAUUUGACAUCACUUUUAAUGCUUGUUCUUUCAUACAAUAAUGUAAGUGGUUCAAUUCCACACAAGUUGGGCAAUAUCACAGAACUUACAUACCUCCAUAUAGACUCAUAUUAAACCAAUAAAUAAGUGCCUGGUACAUAUAAUACAUAUAAAGUUCAAACUAUGAGAUUUCAUAUUUCAGAUCAGAAGUAUGCUAAACAAUCCACCUAAUGAGUAUGCACAAUACUCCAGAGUAAGAUAAGUCUAAUUCUGCAACUACUUCCUCAUUCUACUAAUGCAAUAAUAAUACUGAUACUAUUAAAAAGGCGAAGAGUGUCCUUAAAAACGUGCAACAUGUUCAACAUUCAAUCAGAAUUCGUUUGAUAAUGCAAUAAUAAUACUGAUACUAUUAAAAAAGCGAAGACUGUCCUUAAAAACGUGCAACAUGUUCAACAUUCAAUCAGAAUUCGUUUGAAUAAUGUGCAUAUAAUUAUCACCCAAUGCAGCAUUUCUAAAGGAAGACACUAUUACAGAUAAUCCAGAGCAUGCAAAUCCCGAUCAAUGCUCCAAAAUUUAGUUAAUGCAGCAAAAAUUAUACUCCAUGAAAAAUAACAGUACUAAUAAUUUUUCACUUUAAAUAUGAAGUCAUUUGUCUCAAGAUAAUACUUGUGCCCAGAUUAAAUUCCUUGAUAUAUACAACCUUAAACUUAAGAAUGCAUCAUCACUUAAUACUUAUAUGUGUCCUAGGAACUAUUUAUGAUCUUUAAUCUAUAGUUGCAUAUGGUCAUUGUCAAUUAACUGAUUGCUAACACUGGUACUGAGACAUGGACAUUUUUUUGAAGUGCACAGGUUGGCUGUGAGAAGAAAGAUAAUUACUGCCUUACUAAUUUUGAUAGUCCACUAUAGGGGCACGUAAUUGAGGAGCUCAACAUAAUGAACCCUCCUCUUUGCAAACCUUAAUGUCAAGGAAAGUACAUGCAUUUGCUACAGGUGACGUGCAAAUUUAAGAAACUAAAAAAGGGAAGCUGGAGCGAAUUCUAAUACAGAGAGGUGAAGCUGUAUCAAUAUGAGUUCCGUGUUUUAAGACACAAAGACCGGACACUGUUUCUUUGAGUUCAAACAGAGGAGAAAUCAGUAUCUUCAGAGUCCCGAAACCAAGGCAAACACGUAAACCCCCUAAUCUUAUAACAGGAGGAGCACAUAAAGUGAUAGUUUUAAACAUCUAGCUUUCCUAUCAAUGUCCCAUUUCUCUUGAAAUUUUAUUGGUUUCAGUUGCUCUGCUAAUAAUUUUUAAUUUAUUUUACUAUAAAAUUCCCACAUUUACUAUACCCCGGAUAUGUUGUAUGUUGAUAUGACCAGUAGCUGCAUUAUCAUAUCCCGACAAACACGCAUAUAAAUUCUUAUAUAGUUUAGCAAUUGCAAACAAAGAGCGAGUCCUAAUCCAUCAUUAAAAAUAAUCCGAAAGACCCCAACAGCGGUAUUUACUCCUCAAACAUACUAAUUAAACAUACACAUUAACACAAUCGAAAUUCCACGCAAAUACCCACAAUUGAAAUUGAGAACAUAGUCUAGUAAAUAAAUAACAAUUGCAAUUACUGCAAGCAGUUAGAUCUCAACAUUCAGUGGACAAAGCUCCAUUAAAGAGACGAUAAGAGUUGAUUAAUAUAUAUAUAUAUAACAUCGCACCAGAGAUGUUAGUAAUAACAGUUGGGUGAGUCUAGGAACGAGUUCGGACAGCUUCAUCCUUGUCUGGUUUCUUGUCGGGCCCACUGGAAAUCCAGAACGCGGAUCCGAUAGCAACAAUAGCCAUAAGGCUCAACGUUCGAUCCACUGUCCUGUGUGUACGAAGAUACUGAAACACCAACAGAUCGAGUUAAUUAAAUAACAAAGUGUGUUCAAUUUCUUACAACAACACAAAUUACCUGGUUGGCUCGCUUAAAGGGUGUUAGAAACGACAUCCUUCUCUCUCGCGCCCUCUCGAUCUCAAUAAUUUCUUGCAGACACAAAGCGUCCCUUAUACUAGGGUUGGGAACCAGAAGGUACUUGGGUUUUAACUGCCCCAUGUUAUCUGGGCCCAAAUACC